rnacentral:lncRNA from 1 species
ACGAUGGAGCUCACUAAGGUCUCGAUGCACCUCACCGUGCUCCACUGCCCCUUGUGCCUCCGCCCCUUGACGCCUCCAGUGUAUGAGGUUCGAAUACACCUCGUCCGUUUGGCUGAUUGAGCAAGGUGCAGGUUUCUUGAUUGAUGUGAUGUUCGAUUGAUUUAUGCAGUGCAAGGGAGGGCACCUGGCCUGCAAGAUUGCCGCAUCGAGCGCCCCGGGAACCAGCGGCAGUGCCAGAAGUGCGAGCGCGGCGGUGGCUUCAACGUGCGGAACACGACGGUGGAUGUCGUCAUUUCGUCGCUGAGGGUGGAGUGCCCGCACGAAGGAUGUGGGCUCUACGUCACUUACCACAAGCUCGCAGAUCACUAGAGCGUGUGUCCGCUCGCGCCCUGCAAAUGUCCCAUGCCCAUGUGCGGCUACGAAGGCCCGCCGCCGGCGCUCUACCACCACAUCAGCAACGCGCAUCCCAUGUCCGUGCACAGGAUCCAGUACGGCAAGGUGUUCCAGCUACAAGUGCCACUGUCGGAACCACGGCUCUUGCUGUUCGUGGAGGAGGACGGCCGCGCAUUUUACUUGGUGGGCGGCGUGCUCGACAUAUUGCCAUGUCGGUCGUCUGCAUCAGAGCAGGGGCAUCCCCACUGCCGCACUACAUGGCCAAGAUGUCGCCGGGGGAGCCCAAAGUCAUGACCGACGCCGUCAAGGUGGAAAUGGAGGUGACAAGCAGCAAGGAUCCCGGCGACGUCGACGUGCAGGAGCUGACCUUCUUCACAGUUCCGCCCAAGCUGCCGGCCGGGGCUAAGCUAGUGUCCCUCCACAUUCAGAUUGACAAGCUCACGUCCUAAAGGUUUCUACAGUGCCUUCUGUUUAUCUUAGUAAUAUGCUAAUAUAGGGAUUACCUCGGUCUACUUUAGCUUAAGAAAUGGUGGGUUUUGGUGGCGAUGCAGCAAUUACUUCGACAUCAGAUCAGUAAUUUCCAACAAUCGAACGGAUAUUUUGUGUCUGUUGGAUAUAAAGUUCCUUUGGGUAAGAAGUAUUAGAUAAAAGGAGAUGUAUGUAGACGUAUUUUAGUUCUAGAUACGUCCCUUUUUAUCCAUUUUGAUGACAAGCACUCCGUCCGUUCCACAAUACAUGCCUUCCAUUUGUCAAAAUAUAGAUAUAUCUAGACAUGUUUUAGUAUAUAGGUACAUCCAUGAUAGAGCCAGUCAGAUGGUUGAGAACACUACAAUUCGUAGCUACAGAUGCGUGUGUGACUCCCAGAUGCAGAGGCCGGGGGUCAUCAUCCUCCUUUUUGAGAAAAAAUAGACGCGUGUGUGAGAGGAAGAGUGCGUGCGUGCACCUCUUCUCUUCCUGUAUAACAUACUAAACUCAUAGUACAAGUUUUUGUGGGUGGCACGAUGGUGCGUGCGAGAAGUCCCGAGAGAUAGGUUUAAUGCGUCUAAAAAAAGACUAGCCUAUAGCUCGCCAGGCAGCUAUUCCUGUCGAACGCCCCAUUAACCGUAAGAUAUGUAUACAACAGUGCCAGUUAUUGCACGUACACAAUAGUAGAAAAAGAACUACUACACCACGGCCAAGAACACGUGCCCACAUAACGCCAUCCGGGAAUAGUGCCGCACUUCGAAACUAGAACCGUCAAUAAAUUUUGAGCUUGCGUCUCCUCACAUUCCAAAUUACUCCAAGCUAUAUGGAAUUGCAAACUUGUUCACAACGAUCACAACCUAAACGGUUUCCCACUUAGGAGCGUAUUAGUACUCGGUUAUAAAUACUAGUAUGCCAAGAUGACUGCAAUUCCUCCUCAACUCCUCAUCCACAAAAACAAACAAGUCAUUCAACAUCCUUCCCUUGCGUCUGCCAUGGCCAGCGUGAGUUCUGGGUCGAGAGAUUGCCCCCAGAGAGAGGCGAGUAUGGAUGCGUAAGCACGAGAGAUGUCCCGCCUCGCUGCAAAAGCAGCCGACAUGUCCCGCCGCAUGGAAGUAGCAGCACAGAGGUCCCGCCGCGCCAUCGAUGCAGCAAACCGGUCCGGCCGCGCCACGGAAGAAGCAGAGAUGUCUCGCCGCGCCGUGAAUGCAGCAGAGAUGUCCCGCCGCGCCGCGGCAGCCUGGGAAAAUUUCUCGCGGGCAGGCGACGACUGUUACAGGCGCAUGCAUGCGAUCGUCCAUAGCCAGAUGGAUCAGAUCUCCGGCUAGGCGAGGUUGCAGGACGACAUGAAAGCCUCAUUUGAACAGGCUACCGGCGUCAUUCGACAACUAAGGGAGGGCAAUGAGAGGCUCCGGGGCAAGCGCGACCUGCUGAGUGCGAAGAUCGUUCGAAGUGCAGACCAGCAGGAGGAGACCAGUGCCUUGUUGAAGAGGACCGGCAUCAUCGUCAAGAAACUUAUGGAUGAGAAUGACAUGCUCCGCAUCGAGCGCCAAAGGCUGGUGGAGGAAUCCGUGGAUGUUCUCAAGCAGCGUCUUGAGGACACGAAAGAGCUCAUCGCCGCUCGCCGCGGAGACUAGUUCUCGCGGCCUGCGGCAACGCAUCAAGAAAGUAGAUAUCAGCAAGCCAGAUCCUUGUCGUCCUUCUUCUUUUGCCCUCGUGUAUUUCAGGCAUAGCCACAUGUGGCUUUUUUAAUUAUCUUUCUAAUUAUGUAAGACAAUUAAUCGUCCUUAUAUAUUCUUCAGUAUUUCUAUAAGUCGCAGUAGAUGCUAUAUAGGUCCGUUGGAUCUUACAUCAAGAUCCGUGCUUUCUGAUUUUCUUUUUUCUCUCUUAAAUCUCAGUCGAGUGAGACAUAGCCACGCCAUUAAACAGAGGCUCGGGCGCCAAUAAUGGAGACCUUGGGAGAGAGGUAGACGGCAGAUGGAGGUCAAAGGGCUCUCCUCCCAAUAAGCACGCGCAGGGGUCUGAUCGACGCCUCUUGUACUCAAAUAGCUACCCUGCACGGCGCCUCCUAGCUAAUAAAAAAUGGGGACGCAUGGCGGCACGUAAAUGGUAGUAAAUAGAACGCCCACGGUUUCAAUAAUACUUGUGUUUCCGAUAGUAACAUGACAACACUUGUUCCAAAAUGACUUUGUUGAUUGUUAAUGUGUGCGCCUUCGCAAAUCGAACAUGGCAGCAAGCCAAGUUUCAUUAUUUUCAUGCGUGUUUUGGAAUUCAGGAAUUAAAAAACUAAGUUUCUCAAUGUUUCCAGCCCAGCCACGACGCCCAGAAUUUGAAUUUCAUUCCCAUUUCUUGCAUGGAACCUAGAAAUUUACCCGAGGACACACAUGUGAUUUUUCAACCAACUUUGGUGCACUGGAACAUGUGCUUGUAUUUCAAAUUUCAAUUAUGCACACAAAGGUGACACGUUCCCUCUCAGAACCACGAGCCUUCUUGAGAGAAGCUCUGAUUUGCAAGAAGAUUAUACCCAAAUUUGUUCCUAUUCGGCCAAAUGUUUUUACCACGGAAUGGUACUACCAUGACAUGACACCAUGCCAAGUAUCAUGAUUUUAAAACCAAGUUUCUUAAUGUUCUCGACCGAGCCAUGAUGCCCAGUUGUUUGAAUUUUAUUCUCAUUUUUUGCAUGGGACCUAGAAAUUCACCCGAGGACACAAAUGUGAUUUUUCAACCAACUUUGGUGCACGGGAGCAUGUGCUUGUAGUUCAAAUUUGAAUUAUGCACAUUAAAUGACCAAAAACUCAAGUAAUGUGUAAAAAGGCCAAACGAAGCCAGAAUGAUUCCAAAAUUUAAUAGGGCACUCAUGUAGUUCUAUGUUACCUUUGUAAUUAAACUCAAGGGGGACAGUGUAUAUCGUUUCACACUCAAAGGUGGCACGUUCCCUCUCAGAACCACGAGCCUUCUUGAGAGAAGCUUCAGUUUACAAGAAGCUUAUACCAAAAUCUGUUCCUAUUCGACCAAUUCUUUUACCACAGCAUGGUAGUACCAUGACAUGACACCCAUGCCAAGUUUCAUGAUUUUCAGACGUGUUUUGGAUUUACAAGAAUUUUAAAUCCAAGUUUCUCAAUGUUCUCGGCCGAGCCACGAUGCCCAGAUGUUUGAAUUUUAUUCUCAUUUCUUGCAUGGGACCUAGAAAUUCACCCGAGGACACAAAUGUGAGUUUUCAACCAACUUUGGUGCACGGGAGCAUGUGCUUGUAGUUCAAAUUUGACUUAUGCACAUUAAAUGACCAGAAACUCAAUUAAUGUAUAAAAAUGACAAAUGAACCCGGAAUAAUUCCAAAAUUUAACAGGGCACUCAUGUAGUUCUAUGUUGCCUUUGUUAAGAAACUCAAGGGUGGGGGCAGCGUAUAUUGUUUCACACUCAAAGGUGGCACGUUCCCUCUUAGAACCACAAGCUUCCAAAUCAGCACAAUUUUUUACCACAACAUGUUAGUGCCAUGACAUGACACCAUGCCAAGUUUCAUGAUUUCUAGACAAGUUUUGGAUUUACAUUAAUUUAAAAUCUAAGUUUCUCGAUGUUCUUGGCCGAGUCACGACGUGAUGUUUGAAUUUCAUUCUCAUUUCUUCCAUGGGACCUAGAAAUUCAACCAAGGACACACAUGUGAUUUUUCAACCAACUUUGGUGCACCAGAGCAUGUGCAUGCAGUUCAUAUUUAGAUUAUGCACUUUAAAAGUCCAGAAACUCAAUUAAUGUAUAAAAAGGCCAAACGAACCCAAAAUAAUUCCAAAAUUUAACAGGGCGCUCAUAUAGUUCUAUGUUGCCUCUGAAAAGAAAAUCACGGGGGAGGCAUCAUAUAUCAUUUCACACACAAAGGUGACACGUUCCAUCUCGGAACCACGAGGCUUGUUGAGAGAAUCUCUGGUUUUGCAAGAAGCUUAUACCAAAACUUGUCCCAAUUCAGCCAAAAAUUAUACAUAUGAAAACAGGGUUUAGAUUAUCCCGAACAUCUCGCUACCUAGACCAAUAAUGUACUAUGAUUUAAAUUCAACAUAAAAUGGAUACAAAUAUUUGAAUUGGAGAGCAUAUGGUACAUGUAGUUCAUAGUGAAAUAUGAUUACUACUAUAUGCAUGCUUUUUGUUAUCAAGAUAAUAUUUAAAUUAUUGUAUAACUUGACAACAAUCGUAUUCAAAUAAGGAAAAUUGAUUCAAAUUUAGUCCAUAUGGUAGACGACAAUAUAUAUGUUCACAUGGUGGAGUAAAAUGUUCAUAUAUGAUGGAAGAUCAAAAUGUACGACUACAUCAAUUAUAAACCGCGAGGUCACCUAACGAUAUAUUCGAAUUCAACAUAACGUGGAUUAAAAAAAUUGAAAUUCGAGAUCUUGGCAUUUGUAAUCAUAUAAAAAGGGACAUUACUCUUUCUUUUGGUGGGAAUUGAUUUGUUUUUUGUUGUUGUUGAGGGAAGUGCGAAUCGAUUUGGUACUGUGCAGGGUAACCUUGUUCUCCCGAAUUUUUUUACAUUUUUCUUGUAGUUUUUUCAAUGGCAUCUAUAGCAAUAUAGUAAAAGGCGACAUGACUCUCUUGUGUCUUGUAUGAAUUGUUUUUUUUUGCACGUUAAGUUUGUUCUGCUGAACAAGGAAUCCGCACCUGGUUAUCCCGAAAUUUUCAAGCUCAAGUAUCUUUUGUCUCACCUGCUUUGAAACUCCUGCCUCUUCAACCCACGCCGCGCCUUGUUAUCCCGAAAUUUUGACGCGCACGAAAACUCCCUCCUCAUCCGAAAUCGGUCCCGCAGCCCAGACAUGGGAAAUCCCCCUUCUACCCCUCAGCCGGAAAUGAAGCUCCAGGUCGCAGUGUCAAAACUGGUGGGGGUACACUGGUAACUUACCCUACAUUUCGGACAAGCGNNNNNNNNNNNNNNNNNNNNNNNNNNNNNNNNNNNNNNNNNNNNNNNNNNNNNNNNNNNNNNNNNNNNNNNNNNNNNNNNNNNNNNNNNNNNNNNNNNNNNNNNNNNNNNNNNNNNNNNNNNNNNNNNNNNNNNNNNNNNNNNNNNNNNNNNNNNNNNNNNNNNNNNNNNNNNNNNNNNNNNNNNNNNNNNNNNNNNNNNNNNNNNNNNNNNNNNNNNNNNNNNNNNNNNNNNNNNNNNNNNNNNNNNNNNNNNNNNNNNNNNNNNNNNNNNNNNNNNNNNNNNNNNNNNNNNNNNNNNNNNNNNNNNNNNNNNNNNNNNNNNNNNNNNNNNNNNNNNNNNNNNNNNNNNNNNNNNNNNNNNNNNNNNNNNNNNNNNNNNNNNNNNNNNNNNNNNNNNNCUCUUCCCCGACUACGUCGUCCACCGCAACAGCUCACCUUCCCUCAUCCACCGCACCGAAUGAGGAUCCAUCGUCGAUCUCGUCGUCCCGCCGGAUUAGCCGCCCCGUCCUCCACCUCCAAGGAGCUGCCCCGACGUUCGCCUCGUCUAUCGCGCCACCUCAAUCCCCAUAGUGCCGUCUUGACCUGCCCCACCGGAACCGCAGCACCCUCACCAAUUCCUUCGAUGAAGUCGAGGCCAACUCGGCGCCACCGAGGAGGUUCUGCACUCACCGCUGCAUUUUAUCUUUUAUUCGAUCUCACGGGGUUUCCGGUGCUCGAUACCAAGCAGACAUGGCGGGUCUCCAUCGAUGGCGCCGUCGCCGGCCACAUCAUCCACGGCGUCUCUCCCCCAUGUCGUUGCUUCCUCAGCAGCGACUUCCACAACGGCACUAUGGGGAGGCCAUUGCGGCUCUAUUCUUGCUGUCGGUCGUGCUGCUGCAGUGCUCUUGCUUUCGUUCAUGCUGCUGCUCUGCUCUUGCUCUCGCUUGCGCUGCUACUGCUACUACACGACCUCCGGUAGCUACAGGAGUUGCUGCUUUAGCACUCACUCGCGGUGCUACUGCACGACUUGCUCUCUACUAGUGUGUUCCCUGCUCGAGCGUCUGCUGAUUUAGAUUGCUGCUUCUCUGCUACUAGUGCUUGAACUCCCUAAACAUCUAUUGCAAUGCUCUGCUACUAGUUCAAUCAGUUUCGACAUUAAAAUAUAGUUUUGACUGUAAAGUUCAUUUUCUUCAGUUAAGUUCAGAGUGAACUGUCGCGACAGAUGCGUUCUACAUCUAGCACUUUUUGGUGAUGUAUUUUAGAUGAUCUAUCACAGAUGAUAUUAGGGUCCCACUUCAGAUUAACGUUGUCUGUCUUGUCCUGUUUCAGCCUCGUCGCCGUACACCUCACCGGGGCUGCUCCAACAACGGAACUGUCCAUCACAGCAGAGCAGUACCCUCGGCGCCGUUUCCAGAGGCCUCGGAUCUUCUUCCCCACCUCCGACAGUCACACCAGCAUCACCAUCCUCCACGUCCAACCCAAUGAUGGUGAGGUCCACAAGGCCAUGCCAAAGAAGUUGUACACUCGUCGCAUCACUUUGUUACUCUACAUUCAUGUCGAUCCCUCAGGGAUCCUUUGCUAUGGAACUACUAUUUGUGCAAAUCUGUUAGAAGGAGUGGAGCAAAGCAAAACUGGAGGAUUUUUUUUCCUUUGGUGUCUCUUUCGAAGAAAAAACGUUGGAAUUUUAUUCACUUGGAUGUCCUUUUCAAAUUAAUAUGCAUGAAGAACAGAACUAAUUGCAUUACUGGCAUAAUAAGAUGCUUAUUUUUUCAUUUUCACAUGGUUUGACUUUAAUUUGACCACGUUUCUCCAUUCCUGUCUUCUUCCAAUUCAUGUGAACCAAACACCUAGGUUGACUAAAAUCCUAUGUUUCCAAAUGCUCUGUUUUGCACGUGCAUUCCUAUCCUAUUCCUGUGUUUUUCCUGUCCCUGCGUUUACAGAAUCCUCCAAUUCUAAGGAGCCCUUACAGAUUUACUUCAUUCUCAGAUAGGCGUCAAAGAAAACUCUGUUUGUUAUGUCCUGCUCCUACCGUGCCGUCAUCCACCCCACCUGAGGUGCACCAUCGACAAAAGCGUUCACAACAGCAGAGAUCCCCCCUGCAGACUUUCUUUCGAUGCCUUAGAUCAUCUUACCCGUUGCCGGCAGCCACGCCAACUGCAUUACCAUCAUCGACUGAGCAGAUGAACCUGAGGACUACACAGUUCUGGAAGAGAGGUCGCAGUCUUUCGUGUUUGCUUACGUUAUACAUCGGUUAUUAUUACCUGCUACUUUAUCAUUCAAACUUGAGUUUUGAAAUGCCCAUGGGUCUCAUAUCGAGCCAGCAACAAAUAGUAUAUGUCUACUAUCUGGUUCAUCUGGGUCUUCUAUGUGGUUCAUGUUGGGUGGGCAACAAACAAUAGAUGAUCCACUGUCUAUCUUUUUAAACUGAAGCUAUAAUCUACCUGCUAUCAUUAGUUUUGAAUCCAUCCACUCAUUUGCUACCAUCAGUCUUGAUUUUUGCAUGCACCCCUUAGGUCUUACAAAGUCUAACUAUUUUCUUAUUAUGCAUGUCAGAUAUUGUACACAAUCAUACUGAACAUGUAGAGAAAAAGAGAGGACCAUUGCGUGGGUAUAUAAUGUCAUGCAGACGCCGCUCCAUGGUGGGCGAAGUGCCCCCCCCCCUCCCGCAUUUCCAGAUUGUAUUCCAGAGGAAGAUAACUAUUUAGAUGGGGAUUCAGAAGGAGGCGACCACGCCUGUUUACCACCUGAGGUGUUUGCUCUAACUUGGCAUGCUGAUGUUGGUCAUAUCAUGCAUAUGGCGCCUUGCAUUGCUUACAUUAUACAUCUUAUAUGUCAUCAGCUUAGUUUAUAUUUGCUUUGUGUGAAUGCCACCUGUUUGGUUUCUAUAUCAUACUCCCACCAUUUCUAAAUAUUUGUCUUUUUAGAGAUUUCAACAAGUGACUACAUACGGAACAAAAUGAGUGAAUCUACACUCUAAAAUAUGUCUAUAUACAUCCGUAUGUGCUAGUCCAUUUGAAAUCUCUAAAAAGACAAAUAUUUAGGAAUGGAGGGAAUUAUGCAAUGCAUCUUCUUUAGCCAGGCAUCAUAUACGUGAAUCAUGCAAUGCCAUCCUGUUUAGCCAGUCAUCGUAUAUGUGAAUUGUAUCGUGCCAUAUUUUUUCCAUAAUGUAUUCCAUUUGUCAACAAUGUUUAUAGAUUCAUCUACUCUUUCUGUGCAUCAGCCAUUUGAGUCGGUCAUGGGAACAUCUGGGGUGAAAACAAUGUCUUCUGAGCAGUCAGUGCUACCUGUCGAUGCAGAUUUGUUGCUGGUUACAGAUAGCUCCUCAGAGGAGGAUUCAGAGACAGAUGGCGAGUCGUAUCCCCCCCCCCCGAGGUGCAUGCUCUAACUUGGCUGGGUUAUAUUGCUCAUAUCAUGCAUAUGGUGUCUUGCAUUGCCAUGCCAUCUGCUUAGAUUAGACAUGCUUUGUGUGAAUGCCUCCUGUUUGCUUUCUAUAUCACAUAUGUGAAUUAUGCAGUUCCAUGUUUUUCAGCCAGUUAUCAUAUAUGCGAAUUAUGCACCGUCAUGUAGCCAGGCAUCAUAUAUGUGAAUUAUCUCAUGCCAUCUUUUUUUCAUUACAUAUUCCAUUGUCGACAAUCUGUGUAUAUUGAACUACUAUUCAUGUGUAUCAGCCAUUUGAGCCGGUUAUGGAAAAAUCUGGAGUGAAAACAAGGUCUUCAGAGCAGGCAAUGGUACCCGUUGAAGAAUAUAUCUCGAUGGUUACAGGGAGCUCCUCAGAGGAGGAUUCAAAGACAGAUGACCAGUCCUAUAUCCCGCCUGAGGUGUAUGCUCUAAGUUGCAAUGUUUUAUAUUUCUCAUAUGAUGCAUAUGGUGUCUUGCAUUGCUUAGUUUAGACAUCAUAUGCACAAUAUUGAAUUCCAUCUGCUUAAUUUAGAGAUCAUACAUGCGAGUGCCGGCUGCUUAGUAUAUGAAUCAAUUAUGUCAAUUAUAUCAUGCCAUCCUGUAUACUUAGACAACGUGUAUGUGCAUUAUUUCAUCCCAACCUAUUUUAGAAAGACACCAUAUAGUUUUGCCAUGUCAUCCUGUUUAGGUACUCAUCAUAUAUAUGUUGAAUUAUGCCAUUAUAUCCUGUUAAGUUAUCCAUCAUAUAUCUGAAACUGUGUCAUGCUAUCCUGUUUAGUUAGGCAUCAUAUCUGUGAAAUUGUGUCAUGCUGUCCUGUUUGGUUAGACACCAUAUAUGUUAAUUACCACAUCUGUCUAUCAUACAAUGUCUGUAUGUUCAGUUUGUUUUCUUGUUUAUCAGCCAUUUGAAUUGGAGGGGGUGAUGGCAGUAUCUAAGGGAGCAAAAACCCGUUCUUCACAAAAGACAGUGCUACCCGUCGAUGCAGAUAGAACCAUGGUUGUACUGGCCCACAAACUAGCCCCACCACACAUAAUCGAUACUCUUCCAGAUUGCACACUUACAUCGGUGGGCAGAGAACCAGCUACAACCCAUCUAACCGCAACCCCAGCGGAUAGUAACCCACUUAUAGUUGACAAAGCACCAUGUCCACCAUAGAGUACCCCCACAUGAGCAGUUUGUAAAGCUACUGCAGUGCCCAAAGCACGAAGACCACCACAGCUAACCCAAACUCCACGUUUAAAGCAGAAGAGGAACUGUUCUCAGGUCAGAUUCCGUAGCUAUGGUCCAUACUCCUUUGCUAUUGCAUCACUGUAUUUACUCAUACCAACUACUUUCGAAUUUGAAGGAUCCAAUUGAAACUCCAAUGGCGCAAUAGGUAUAUUUUAAACCUAUUUCUUUAACUGGAUUGCGGUUCUAACUUCUUGCUCUAUGUUGAUUUCAGUUUAAGUUGUAUAAACAGUUAUGUUCUCAUGUGAUGUACAUUACAAGUGCUGCCAAUGUUGUGUAGUUUCUCACACUUAUAUUCUACCUAUGAUGUUGUGUCUUAAAAAUAUAUGAGUUGAACUGUGUCUCUAUCUUGAUUAGGCAACAUAAACUAGAAUGAUAUGGACAAUAAAGUGACCAUAGUACAUAGAUAUAUGUUUGUUUCAUGCCGUUAUCCUGUCCACCUUACUACUGAACCAGUUUACCAAAAUGAGUUUCAUAUACUACAAGCUAAACCUGUGAUGUGUCUGUUUGUUUCUCUUGUAGUAUGCAAACAGAAUAUUCGAGAAGAGCACCCCACUAUGCAAUGGUAGAGAAAGUAAUGCGGAUAAGGUUCAAGAUAGUGAGACAACCCUGUUGAUCUCCAAGAAAGGUGAUAAAAGCGAUCUUGUAGACAGUGAGAAAACCCCACAGUCCUGCGUUGAUGUAGUGUUCGAGUUACUGGCCAGUACCGCUGGCAUGAGCUCUUCGAACUCGCUGCCUGAAUCACUUCGGCUUCUUCAGUCUCAACUACAAGCUGAAAGGCAUCAGUCAGCUGUGCUGCGGCAAGAAGCCGAAGGACUGAGGAAGUCCCUGCAGAAUUCAGAUGUGUACUUUCUUGUGCAAUAGCAAGCGCUGGAGGAUUUAAGCGCCAAACAAGAGAAAGUUAAUAAGCUUGCUAAGCAUCUUUCCAGCAUUAUGGGUACCCAGGAUAUUGUUUCUUGAGCUCUUCUGAAGUGGUUUCAGUUCUGGACUUGUUUUGCUACGGCGUUUAUAUGUUGCUUUGUUCCCUAUAUUUGCACUAGUGGCGAACUUUGAUGCCCAGUGGAUGUAAUAUGUGUAAUAGCCGUGAUAGCCUAGCAUAAGUUGCUUGCUUAUUUAUUUCCUUGUUGUCUUGUUUAUUUGUUUGCUUGUAGUUAGUGCAGUUCUUUUUCCGUGGUUUUCUAGUGGCCGCAAUAACCUAUUUUUUAAAACUAGGCCACAAUAACCAUGGGCUACAUAUUUACUGUAGUGGCACUGGGCCUCCUACCAGCCGUAGAAACAAUGGGCCUUCUAUGGGCCGUAGAAACAAUGGGCCUUCUAUGGGCUGUAGACACAAUGGGCUUUCUACGGGUCAUAUCAUCAAUGGGCCUUAUAUGGGCCGGACGAUCGAUCGGCCAAACAUGGGCCAAUAACAGACCGCAUUAUGGCCGUAAACGGGCUAGAGUUGGAAUCGUCUAUUCAUGGGCCGACCAUAAUGGGCCAUCGUUAAUAGGCCGUAUUUGAUGACGCUAUGAAAAUGGCCCAACGUAUUAACGGGCCACAAACGGGCCGACUGUAACAACGGGCUGAAUAUGGCCCACAAGUAGAAAAUGACAGUAACGGGCCAUAAGUAACUGAAUGCUGGAAAUGAGCCCAAGAAUAAAUGGGGCCUGAGAAGGCCGAAAGAUAACAUGGGUUGGAAACGGCCCAAUGGAAUAAUGGGUCGUUAAUGGGUAUAAAGUGAUACACUAUUCAUUACAGGCCAGUUUCACCACGGGCCAUUAAUGGGUAUAAAGUGAUACACUAUUCAUUGCGGGCCAGUUUCACCACGGGCCGUUAAUGGGCCAAGAAUUACAAAGUGCCUCAUAUGGGCUGAAAUACGUCAUGGGCCAUACAUGGGCCAGAAGUGAAAACAGGCUGGAAUCAUAUUGGAUGGCCCAGAUGACGCUACUGGGCCUAAUUCGGAUAGGGCGUAAUGGGCCUUGGGUUAGCAGACUGUAAAUGGGCUAUAUGCGAACAUGCUGUUAACAAGCUUUCCAUGGGCCGGCCCGCCACCUUUUGACCAAGUCAAACGGGCCGGCCAUUUAACAGGAAUGGGCCUCUGUUGGGCCGUGCACGUGUCGACGUAUUAUAAGCGCCUUCUGUCCAAUGAGUGGAUGACAUCUGUCCCAACGAUGAGCCGACAUGUCUUUCCUCCAGCCAAUGAUGAUUUUACACGUGGAAAAUCCCCAUUGGUCCGGGAUGUUAACGGGUUAUUGGAUCCAAAACCCGACCCGGUAGCUUAACCGCGUUCCGUUACGGUGGAUGCCACGUGUCAGUCACCCUUGACGAGAGCACUUCUGUGACGCGCGAUUUAUCAUCAUGGAAGUGGACACUUCCGUGAUGAUAAUUUUGGUAAUGUCAUGGAACACUUCUACGACAACACAUGUAUGACUAUCUUGAUUCUGUCAUAAAAUCGUCAUGGAUGUACAUGCAUGACAAAAAACGCGACCUACUAUGACAAACACGUAUCAUCACGGAAGAGUUUUUUUUGUAGUGGAUGCUGACUACUGGAAGGAAGUAGUUCAUAGCGAGAUGGAUUCCAUCUUGGCGAAUGAAACUUGGGAGAUAACUGAUCGUCCUUGUGGGUGCAAACCUAUAGGAUGCAAAUGGGUAUUCAAGAAGAAGCUUAGGCCUAAUGGUACUAUUGAAAAGUACAAGGCUCGGCUCGUGGCUAAGGGUUAUACCCAAAAGGAAGGUGAAGACUUCUUUGAUACUUACUCACCUAUGGCUCGAUUGACCACUAUUCGAGUUCUACUUUCAGUAGCUGCCUCACAUGGUCUUCUCGUUCAUAAAAUGGAUGUUAAGACUUCUUUCCUAAAUGGAGAGUUGGACGAGGAAAUUUAUAUGGAACAACCAGAUGGGUUUGUAAUAGAUGGUCAGGAAGGGAAAGUGUGCAAGUUGUUGAAUUCUUUGUAUGGACUCAAGCAAGCACCCAAACAGUGGCAUGAGAAGUUUGAAAGAACUUUAACAGCUUCAGGCUUUGUUGUGAACGAAGUUGACAAAUGUGUGUACUAUCGCCAUGGUGGGGGCGAGGGAGUUAUCCUUUGCUUGUAUGUUGAUGACAUACUGAUUUUCGGAACUAAUCUGAAUGUUAUUAAGGAGAUCAAGGAUUUCCUAUCUCGCUGUUUUGAGAUGAAGGAUUUAGGAGUGGCUGAUGUCAUUCUGAACAUCAAGUUGUUGAGGGACGAUGAUGGUGGGAUUACAUUGCUUCAAUCUCACUAUGUGGAAAAGAUCUUGAGUUGCUUUGUCUACAAUGACUGCAAGCCCUCUCCAACACCAUAUGAUGCUAGUGUGUUGCUUUGAAAGAAUCAAAGAAUUGCUAGAGACCAAUUGAAAUAUUCUCAGAUUAUUGGCUCGCUCAUGUACUUAGCUAGUGCUACAAGACCUGACAUCUCUUUUGCUGUUAGCAAACUGAGUCGGUUUGUCUCAAAACCAGGAGAUGUGCAUUGGAAAGCUCUAGAGAGAGUUUUGCGUUAUUUGAAAGGCACUGCAAAUUAUGGAUUUCACUACACUGGGCACCCAAAGGUGCUUGAAGGGUAUAGUGACUCAAACUGAAUCUCAGAUGCUGAUGAGAUAAAGGCCACGAGCGGAUAUGUAUUCACUCAUGGAGGUGGCGCUGUUUCUUGGAAGUCUUGCAAGCAGACCAUCUUAACGAGGUCAACAAUGGAAGCAGAACUCACAACACUAGAUACAGCUACAAUCAAAGCAGAUUGGCUUCACCGGCUCUUGAAUGACUUGCACGUUGUUGAGAAACCUGUACCGGGUAUCCUUAUGAACUGCGACAAUCAAACUGUGAUCAUGAAAGUGAAGAGCUCAAAGUAUAACAUGAAGUCAUCAAGACACGUUCAGAGAAGGUUAAAGUCUGACAGAAAAAUGAGAAACUCCGGAGUUAUUGCAUUGGAUUAUAUCAAGACACGUUCAGAGAAGGUUAAAGUCUGGCAGAUCCUUUUACUAAGGGUCUAUCACGUAAUGUGAUAGAUAAUGCAUCGAGGGAGAUGGGUAUGAGACCCACAAUAUGAGUUGUUCAUAGUGGUAACCUAUUCUUUGUGAUCGGAGAUCUCGUGAAUUAGAUGUGGAAGACAAGUUGUUGGUCAACUAGGAGGAGAGUACCCUUACUGUUAAAAAAUACCACUCCAUGAAGAUGCAAUACUCUCCUAAUCUGCAUGCCAGGUUGAUGUAUAUCUUAAUGUGUUCUAAGUGGCUCUUUGAAGCAGAGAUGUUGUCCUGCAGAACAUCUUUUGAAGAAUGCACCUAUAUGAGUCUGAUUGUUAAAUGUCGCAAUCUAUGAGAGUAGGGUUUUCUCUAGUAAACUCAUGAAAGGUCUCGGAGUAUGACGCAUAAGCUCCACCCGCGGGGAAGACCCACGGUAGGCACGUAUCGGUCAAGGCUUUAUGUGAAGCUAGAUUCGCAGAAAACUUGCAGUUCAAGGCCCAGUCCACUGUUCAAGUUGCUUACUAGUGUAGCAUAGAGUUCUAGGUGGAAUUUCAACUUAACAGUCUCCACUGCAGUACCGGUAUAUAAAACAGUGUUUUGGAACGAAAGGCAAAUUUUGUGUGCCUCUGGGAUCUGGUGGGGGAUUGCUGGAAUUUUUGUCAAUUUGGGCCUACCCCAAUAGCAGUUUCAGAAAUUCCUAAUAAAUCCUAGAGGCCCACGCAACCCAUUCGUGCAAGGCAAGAGGUGGAACUAAAGUUUAGUCCCACAUUGCUUGUUUAGAGGGAGUUGGACCUCUUUAUAAGGGAGGUUCUUUCCCCACUUGUAUAAGCACGAGAACAAGAGGGACAUCCACGCGCGCUCCUCCUCUGCCGCCGCCUUGCCAUGCCACGCCUUGUCAUGACGCGCCGCGGGUUACGGGAAUGAGCCAAGCCGAUGUCUAAAUUUUUGCCACGCACUACGCGCAUACGAAAGGUCGCUCGAAAGCUGAAAUGUUUUUCUGUACUGGACACUGAAUUCAAACGGCGCGCCUCUUCGGCUGCUGCAUGCUCGUUUCGUCUCCCGCGUUCCCUUCAGCUCCCGGCGCAGCCUCUCGCCUCCUUCUCUUGCGCCUAUAAAAGGGAGAGAGAUGCACCAGAACUACUUCCUCCUCUCGCCACCGGUUCCUGAGCACUGUGCUGCUGCUAUGAUCUUCCCCAUCCCGGCUUGCGGCGUGCACCGCAGGUCGGGACAGUAGGCCUCCGAAACUGCACCUUUUGAGUCCUGUGCAGGAGAAGGGUGAUAAGGUUUUUGGGGAGCACUCUGCGCGACUACUGACUCCACUCCUUCAUCACGGACUCCAAUGACUACUUCCUCGACGAUGACUUCUUCCCCGACGUCGACAACCUCCUCGACGACAUGGCUGGCGAGGACACCGACCCCAAGUCCAGUGCUACCGCUACUGCUGGUGUCUCGUACGUGUUAUUAAUCUUUCUGUUAGAGGUCUUGUCACAGUUCCUUGUUCUACUGUUUGCCCUACAUAUGUUAGGCUGUACUUCAUAUAUGCUGCUUGCCCUAGAUAUGUUUGCCUACAAUUCAUAUGUGAAGGUGAUAUUUACCUUCUCUUUGUUAGAUUGCAUGACUUGCUUUAUCUCUGCUAUUUUAGUCAUGCUUUAUUCAGUAUUUCCGUUAAUAAAAUCAUAUGGUAAAUUGCUCAUAUUUCCAACAAUCCAAAAACCUUAUGAUAGGCAAUUUACCCAAGUGGUUUUGCUGCUUCCAUGAGACCUCCUAUGUUUGAGGGUAUCCACUAUAAGAGGUGGUGCGUGAGGCAGUCUUAUGGUUUCAAACCAUGAGUUGCUAUGAUGCCACUCUUGGCAAACCUGAAGGAGAGCAAGAUCCACAACAGGCACAAGCUUUUCAGAAAAUGGAUACCUUGUUUAAGGCUGCUCUCUUGAGUGUUCUUGGUGAGAACAUAGUGGAUGCUUAUGCAUCAAUUUGAUAAUGAAAAGAUAUGUGGGACGCACUCGAGCCCAACUUUGGGGUCUUGGAUGCUGGCACUGAGCUGUACAUCAUGGAGCAAUUCUAUGAUUACAGGAUGACUGAAGAGCACUCCGUGGUUGAGCAAGCUCAUGAGAUACAAUCAUUUGCUAGAGAACUUGAGCACUUCAAUUGUAUCCUACCAGACAAGUUUAUUGCCGGAGGUAUCAUCACUAAGCUUCCUCCCACGUGGAGGAACUUUGCUACCUUACUGAAUCAUAGCUGGCCGGAGUUUUCCGUUCCGGAUCUCAUUGGUACUCUUGAUGUGGAGGAAAAGGCGAGAGCAAAGGACAACCGUGCUCGAGGUAUUGAGGGAGGUUCUAGUGCCAAUCUGGUAAAGAAGAAGAAUUUCCAGCCCCACAACUUCAAGAACAAGGGCAAGUUUGAUGGUAAAGCAAAGUUUGAUGGGAAGAACAAGGUUGUGCAGCACAUGAACUUCAAGAAGAAGAAUGACAAGAAGAAAGACGUUUGUCAUGUGUGUGGGGAUCCUGAUCAUUGGGCUCCUAGUUGCCCUAAUUGCUAUGACAAGCGUCAUCCUGGGAAAGGCGGCAAAACCUCUAAUGUUUUCAUUGGAGACACUGACAUGAAGGAUGUUGGGUAUGGUAUAUUUCCCACUAUUCUUUCAGUAUGUCAUUCUCCUGAUUGGUUGAUUGACAUGGGUGCUAAUGUGCAUGUAUGCGGUGAUAUUUCCAUGUUUUCGUCUUAUCAAACCGCAGGGACUUCCACCGUGCUGAUGGGCAACAGUUCAAGUGCUUCUGUUUAUGGUGUUGGCACGGUCGAUCUGAAGUUUACUUCGGGGAAGAUCGUGCAGCUGAAGAACGUGCAUUAUGUCCCCUCCGUCAAUAAAAAUCUUGUUAGCGGAUCUCUUCUGUGUAGAGAUGGCUACAAGCUUGUCUUUGAGUCGAAUAAAUUUGUAAUAUCCAAGUAUGGAACCUUUGUUGGUAAAGGCUAUGAGUCAGGAGGCCUGUUUCGUUUAUCCUUAUCAGAUGUUUGCAAUAAAGUUGUUAAUCAUGUUUGCAACAAUAGUGAAUCAAAUGUGUGGCAUUCACGUCUUUGUCAUGUUAACUUUGGUUGCAUGUCGCGACUAGCGAAGUUGAACUUAAUCCCUAGUUUCACCACUGUCAAGGGAUCUAAGUGUCAAGUGUGUGUGCAAGCUAAGCAAUCUCAUAAGUCUCAUGUGACUGCGGAAACGAGAAAUCUUGCACCAUUAGAGCUCAUACAUUCAGAUCUAUGUGAAAUGAAUGGUGUUUUGACAAAAGGUGGAAAGAAGUAUAUUAUGACGUUAAUUGAUAACUCCACUAGAUAUUGUUGUGUGUAUCUUCUGAAAUCUAAGGAUAAGGCUUUGAACUAUUUCAAGAUCUAUAAAGCUGAAGCAGAAAACCAACUUGAUCUAAAGAUCAAGAGGCUUAGGUCCGAUCGUGGUGGAGAGUAUUUCUAAAAUGAAUUUGAUUCCUUUUGUGCGGAACAUGGUAUAAUCCAUGAAAGGGCGCCUCCCUAUUCACCUCAGUCAAAUGGGAUGGCCGAAAGAAAGAACCGUACUCUAACUAAUUUGGUUAACGCCAUGUUAGACACAUCUCUCUAAGGCAUGGUGGGGGGAGGCGAUAUUGACUGCAUGUCAUGUCCUAAACCGAGUUCCCACAAAGAACAAAGAGAUAACUCCAUUCGAGGAAUGGGAGAAGAAAAGGUUAAAGCUCUCUUAUCUAUGAACAUGGGGUUGUUUGGCGAAAGUCAAUGUGCCUAUUCCAAAGAAGCGGAAGCUUGGACCAAAGACUGUGGAUUGUGUUUUCUUGGGAUAUGCUUUUCAUAGCAUUGGUUAUAGAUUCUUGGUUGUAAAAUCUGAGGUACCUGACAUGCAUGUUGGUACGAUCAUGGAAUCGAAUGAUGCGACUUUCUUUGAAGAUAUUUUUCCCAUGAAGGAUAUAGCUACCUCAUCUAAUCAGGAGAUGCCUAGUUCAUCGAAUCAGGAACCAGUUACAAUUACUGAACCUGCCAUCUCGAUGGAACACUUUGAAAGUCCUGUGGAGGAGAACAAUGAAGUUCCUACUAGGAGCAAGAGACAGAGGACUGCAAAGUCCUUUGGUGCUGAUUUUCUUGUGUAUCUCAUAGAUGAAACUCCCAGUUCUAUUUCACAGGCCUAUACAUCUGAAGAUGCUGAAUACUGGAAGGAAGCAAUUCGUAGCGAGAUGGAUUCCAUCUUGGCGAAUGAAACUUGGGAGAUAACUGAUCGUCCUUAUGGGUGCAAACCUAUAGGAUGCAAAUGAGUAUUCAAGAAGAAGCUUAGGCCUGAUGGUACUAUUGAAAAGUACAAGGCUCGGCUCGUGGCUAAGGGUUAUACCCAAAAGGAAGGUGAAGACUUCUUUGAUACUUACUCACCUGUGGCUCGAUUGACGACUAUUCAAGUUCUACUUUCACUAGCUGCCUCACAUGGUCUUCUCGUUCAUCAAAUGGAUGUUAAGACUGCUUUCCUAAAUGGAGAAUUGGACGUGGAAAUUUAUAUGGAACAACCAGAUGGGUUUGUAAUAGACGGUCAAGAAGAGAAAGUGUGCAAGUUGCUGAAGUCUUUGUAUCGACUCAAGCAAGCACCCAAACAGUCGCAUGAGAAGUUUGAAAGAACUUUAACAGCUGCAGGCUUUGUUGUGAACGAAGUUGACAAAUGUGUGUACUAUCGCCAUGGUGGGGGCGAGGGAGUUAUCCUUUGCUUGUAUGUUGAUGACAUACUGAUUUUCGGAACUAAUCUGAAUGUUAUUAAGGAGAUCAAGGAUUUCCUAUCUCGCUGUUUUGAGAUGAAGGAUUUAGGAGUGACUGAUGUCAUCCUGAACAUCAAGUUGUUGAGGGACGAUGAUGGUGGGAUUACAUUGCUUCAAUCUCACUAUGUGGAAAAGAUCUUGAGUUGCUUUGUCUACAAUGACUGCAAGCCCUCUCCAACACCAUAUGAUGCUAGUGUGUUGCUUUGAAAGAAUCAAAGAAUUGCUAGAGACCAAUUGAAAUAUUCUCAGAUUAUUGGCUCACUCAUGUACUUAGCUAGUGCUACAAGACCUGACAUCUCUUUUGCUGUUAGCAAACUGAGUCAGUUUGUCUCAAAACCAGGAGAUGUGCAUUGGAAAGCUCUAGAGAGAGUUUUGCGUUAUUUGAAAGGCACUGCAAAUUAUGGAAUUCACUACACUGGGCACCCAAAGGUGCUUGAAGGGUAUAGUGACUCAAACUGAAUCUCAGAUGCUGAUGAGAUAAAGGCCACGAGCGGAUAUGUAUUCACUCAUGGAGGUGGCGCUGUUUCUUGGAAGUCUUGCAAGCAGACCAUCUUAACGAGGUCAACAAUGGAAGCAGAACUCACAACACUAGAUACAGCUACAAUCGAAGCAGAUUGGCUUCACCGGCUCUUGAAUGACUUGCACGUUGUUGAGAAACCUGUACCAGGUAUCCUUAUGAACCGCGACAAUCAAACUGUGAUCACGAAAGUGAAGAGCUCAAAGGAUAACAUGAAGUCAUCAAGACACGUUCAGAGAAGGUUAAAGUCUGACAGAAAAAUGAGAAACUUCAGAGUUAUUGCAUUGGAUUAUAUCCAAACAUCUAAAAAUCUGGCAGAUCCUUUUACUGAGGGUCUAUCACGUAAUGUGAUAGAUAAUGCAUCGAGGGAGAUGGGUAUGAGACCCAUAAUAUGAGUUGUUCACAGUGGUAACCUAUUCUUUGUGAUCAGAGAUCCCGUGAAUUAGAUGUGGAAGACAAGUUGUUGGUCAACUGGGAGGAGAGUACCCUUACUGUUAAAAAAUACCACUCCAUGAAAAUGCAAUACUCUCCUAAUCUGCAUGGCAGGUUGAUGUAUAUCUUAAUGUGUUCUAAGUGGCUCUUUGAAGCAGAGAUGUUAUCCUGCAGAACAUCUUUUGAAGAACGCACCUAUAUGAGUCUGAUUGUUAAAUGUCGCAAUCUAUGAGAGUAGGAUUCUCUCUAGUAAACUCGUGAAAGGUCUCAGAGGAUGACGCAUAAGCUCCACCUGCGGGGAAGACCCACGGUAGCCACGUAUCGGUCAAGGCUUUAUGUGAAACUAGAUUCGCAGAAAACUUGCAGUUCAAGGCCCAGUCCACUGUUCAAGUUGCUUACUAGUGUAGCAUAGAGUUCUAGGUGGAAGUUCAACUUAACAGUCUCCACUGCAGUACUGGUAUAUAAAACAGUGUUUUGGAACCAAAGGCAAAUUUUAUGUGCCUCUGAGAUCUGGUGGGGGAUUGCUGGAAUUUUUGUUUAUUUGGGCCGAGCCCAAUAGCAGUUUCAGAAAUUCCUAAUAAAUCCUAGAGGCCCACGCAGCCCAUUCGUGCAAGGCAAGAGGUGGAACUAAAGUUUAGUCCCACAUUGCUAGUUUAGAGGGAGUUGGACCUCUUUAUAAGGGAGGUUCUUUCCCCACUUGUAUAAGCAUGAGAACAAGAGGGACAUCCACGCACGCUCCUCCUCCGCCACCCGCCUCGCCUCGUCACGACGCGCCGUGGGUUGCGAGAAUGAGCCGAGCCGAUGUCUAAAUUUUUGCCACGCACUACGGGUAUACAAAAGGUCACUCGGAAGCUAAAAUGUUUUUCUGUAGUGGACACUAAAUCUGAACGGCGCGCCUCUUUGGCUGCUGCCUAUUCGUUUUGUCUCCCACGUUCCCUUCAGCUCUCGGCGCAGCCUCUCGCCUCCUUCUCUUGCGCCUAUAAAAGGGAGGUCGCUCCUCUCAGAGAGAUGCACUAGAACUGACUUCCUCCUCUUGCCACCGGUUCUUGAGCAUUGUGCUGCUGCUACGAUCUUCCCCAUCCCGGCUUGCAGUGUGCACUGCAGGUCGGGACAAUAGGCCUCCGAAACCGCACAUUUUGAGUCCUGUACGGGAGAAGGGUGAUAAGGUUUUCAGGGAGCGCUCUGCGCGACUACUGACUCCACUCCUUCGUCACGGACUCCGACGACUACUUCCACGAUGACGACUUCUUCCCCGACGUCGACAACCUCCUCGACGACAUGGCUGGCGAGGACACCGACCCCAAGUCCAGUGCUACCGCUACUACUGAUGUCCCGUACGUGUUUGUACUCUUUCUGUUAGAGGUCUUGUCACAGUUCCUUGUUCUACUGUUUGCCCUACAUAUGUUAGGCUCUACUUCAUAUAUGCUGCUUGCCCUAGAUAUGUUUGCCUACAGUUCAUAUGUGAAGGUGAUAUUUACCUUCUCUCUGUCAGAUCGCAUGAGUUGCUUUAUCUCUGCUAUUUUAGUCAUGCUUUAUUCAGUAUUUCCAUUAAUAAAAUCAUAUGGUAAAUUGCUCAUAUUUCCAACAUUGUCUGCCGCAUGAAGAAGAGGAGAAGACGGAGGGGAGGAGAGAGAGGAAGUGCAGCCAGAUAUUUUCUAGGCUCGCCUCAUCUCUAGCCGGAACGACGUGCACCUGAGUAACCGUAAAAAUCAGGUGAUUCACUGGACUAUGGAUAACGAGGCCCACCUGGCAGCUACUCUCAGAAGAAAUGUGAAUGUCAAAAAGAAUGGAUGGUCCACCACAUGCCAGCAGCCAAAAUUCAGCUACAGGGAAAGGAUCGAGCGGCCCAGCGAUCGUAGCGCACGCGGAAGCCUCAAAAUGGCGGGUUGCCUAGCAAGGUUAUGUUCAAUGAUUAUGCUGGUUGCCGGCAUGAGCAGGGGUUUGGGACUCAUGAUCGAGGAUUGGGAUAUAUGUUAUGUGGAUUGGGCUGAAAGGAAUGAUAUGUGUUGAUUUGUGUGUAAAUGACGUCCCAAUGGCUCCCCGCUGCAGGGGAGACUUUGCUGUGUUUUCCUUCUAAUUACCGUACUUAUUUUAUACUUCCUCCGUCCUAAAAUUCUUGUCUUUGAUUUGUCUAGAUAUAAGUGUAUCUAACAUUAAAAUAUAACCAGAUACAUCCGUAUUUAGACAAAUCUAAGACAAGAAUUUUGCAACGGAGGGAGUACUAAGUAUGGGUUUAUGCUCAUUGGUUGAUGCAGGUUAAGAUGUAGCCACUCUUCUUUUGUCACCCUGCUUCUUCAUACUCCGCUUGCAAAAUCUGGUUAUUUUUCUAUCUUUUGUCAUAUGAUUAUGUUGGUUCCACUAUGAGGAGAGUUUGGCCUCACGACCGAGGAUUGAGACAUAUUAUUGUGUGGGUUGGGCUAAAAAGAAUGAUAUGUGUUGAUUUUUGUGUAAAUGAUGUCCAACAGCUCCCGUACAUUUUUUUGUAGGAAAACUUUCGAUCUAUUCCUCUUCAAUCGUGGUAGUACAACGAAGACAAGAAAUAAUAAAAACUAUGUUUAGAUUCAUAGACCACAUAGUGACGGCUACAAGUGCUGAAGCCUAAUAGAAAAGCCUAGUAGAGGCAUUCGGAAAACGUUGUAAGUGGCGCUGACUAGAGAAGCCGCUAGUAUGACGCCUUUGAUAAGGCCCACUAGUCACUAGUGGCGCCGACUUCCAAUGCUGGUAGAAACCUUAUAUUACUGGCAUCGGCGGCCAGCGUCGCUGAUAACUUUGGUACUGCUGGCACGGGUCGACCGAUGCCACAUGUACCUAUUGUAUUUGUUGUGUCCGGUAAAAAACAACGCCACUACAAAAUAUGACAAAAUUAUAAAAAUAAUAGUUGUGUUGCAUAUGAAAUCUUGAGACAUUAAAAAUUGCAUUGCAUACGAAAUCAGAUUACAUUACAUUAUAUAAUUGCAUUGCGUAUGAAACCAUAUUGCAUUGCAUAUGAAAUCACAUUACAUUAUAUAAUCUGAAAUCACAUACGAAAUCAUAUUGCAUUGCAUAUGAAACCACAAGGCUUUUGCCGGGUGCUUUUGGCACCCGGCAGACGUUCAAAUCCGGUAGUGAACUUAGUCUUGUUGUAUAUUUGGACUGCGUCUUUUGAAAGAGAAAACAUCACGCAUGAUUUCUUUUCUACCAAACUCCAUUGGCCUCGUUGAUAUGUUCAUUCUCUUCUUUUCCAAUCUUGUGUAUGCAUUGGCUGUAUUCUCUUGCUUCUUGAGCACUCCCAUUUAAUGAUUUCCUCACGCAAAGGUGGACAUAUCGUGCCAAGAUGAAUCUUGCAUUCCUAGUUUUCUUUUGCGUAAACUAAUAUAGGAUCCUCUAACAAACUAUGGGUUUUACUUAGGACUUGGAAAGCUGACAAUUAUGCAAACAAAAUCCGCACGACAUUGUUGGAAGUUGAAAAAAAGUUACGAUGCGUCAACAUAAUACAAGCCCACAAGCCACUCACUCAGAUGGUAUGAUGGACAGCUAGGGUUUUAUGUCCGUUCCGUGCACCUCUUUGCAUUUCCCUUGCCAUAUAUAUGAACCAAGGAUGUAGCUAACUUUGUCGAUAUGGUAACCAUCCUAGCUUUUUAGUAGUUAACAAACUAUGGGUUGUAAUCACAAUGUUCAGAUGCAUGCCAAAUACAUCACCGCACUGGAUCAAGAACAACGACGUGGAAGCCCAAGCUAUAGGCACUAGACAAAAGCCACCCACGCAGAUCAUGAACAACUUAUGUCUAUUGCCUUCCACCUUUUUAGCUUUAUCUAGCUAUAUAAACCGUCCAGAGAUCAAGAGUGUAGUUAUCCAUAUACACAACUGGUUAAUAUAGUACUAAAUCAGAGAUAGAAAGUCUGUGCGCAGAGGAACAAUGUCGAUGAAGACCGUGUUCUCGGUGCUCCUGCUAUGUAUGCUCGUGGCGACACCCAUAGCGGCCGAGUACGACGCAUGGAGCGUUAACAGUGGUCCCUGGAUGUGCUAUCCAGGGUAUGCCUUUAAGGUGCCAGCGCUCCCUGGCUGUCGUCCAGUGCUGAAGCUCCAGUGCAAUGGCAGCCAGGUGCCCGAGGCUGUCCUAAGGGAGUGCUGCCAGCAGCUCGCCGACAUCAGCGAGUGGUGCAGGUGCGGUGCCCUCUACAGCAUGUUGGACAGCAUGUAUAAGGAGCAUGGCGUGCAGGAGGGACAGGCGGGGACAGGCGCGUUCCCAAGCUGCCGGAGGGAGGUGGUGAAGCUGACGGCGGCGAGCAUCACGGCGGUCUGCAAGCUACCCAUCGUCAUUGAUGCGUCUGGAGAUGGAGCGUAUGUCUGCAAGGGUGUGGCCGCAUACCCGGACGCCUAGUCAAGCGAAUGAGUAGCUACUAUGUUGUGUCAUGCAUCUGCCUCUUAAUUUGUGGGGUGCGCACAAGUUGAAUAAAAUGGUGUAUGCGCCUAUGCGAAAUGCAUCAUUAAUGAAUAAAAGCGAAGUUCCCUGUUGAUCGAGAAAUUUUGAUCCAGCAUGCAAAAGAAUAAGUAGACGCAUCUCCUGUGGUCGAUCUUGUGGAGCCUUUGGCUAUACCGCAGCUAGGUGUUGUUUUUGUAAGAGUGGAGGCAUCCGGGUGCUGGUAGUCAGAGGGCGCUGCAUCAACUAGUAAUAUGCAGAAACUCACGGAGAGAGAAAUUCGCUAGCACCGGUGCAGUAUGAUGUGACAAUUAAUGUGAACUUAAAAAAUAAAUAGGUACAUUGUAUAGUUUAUUCUGUGUUAUAAAACUAUAUAAGUAACCAAAAUCUUAGAAAAUAUAUGUUUCCAUCUUUGCAUCUGAUUUAAAUGCGUUUAUGCACCUGUUUGCAUGCACAACUGCCAUCAUGUUGUCUGAUUUCUUUGUGAUAUAUGCACCCCGUUUAUCCUUUCUCAUGUUCACUAACAUGUCUUUUUAGAGAAAAGGCGCUGGCCGAACCCGAGAAGAGCUCGAACUUAACCCAACUUUGAAUUAAUUAAGCCAUCAACUGGCCAGGAUUACAAGGGCACCACAUUACAAAGGAGAUGCAAAGCAAAGCAGAAAGGAAGAUACAAGGAACUAGGCAGAACAACACAAAUGCAACAGCGGGAAUGCCGAUGCAGACAACUAGCACUACGCCUGCACCGACUAACCAACUAAGUACACCGAAGAAGGGCCACACCGAGCAAGCAUUGAGCGCCAGCUGCAUCAACAAGCCAAACUUGGGCAACACUUGAGUUGUCUCCGUCGUCGCAAAGGGCCACUACCCUUUCACCCAGGCUUGAUGGGUGCCGCACCAGCGACCGACAGAGUGGCUACCACAUAGGUGUCCGAGCUGCCAUAUGAGAAGCAAAUAGAGCUGACCCGUGAACCACAGGAGACCAACCAAACAAGAACCAUAGCCGGCAGUGGCAGCACGGAGCAUGGGAAGCGAGCUAUCGAACGAAGGCGCACACCCAUGAAGAAGACCAAAGAGGGCAUCACUAUGCACUAGGAGAAGCUGAGCAGGAUGUAGCAGGAAGACCACGCCAUCAUGCUUCGCAACAAAGACAUCAGUCACUCCACCAACAAGAGCAAAUCCCAGCCGCCGCCUUCAAGAAGGAGCACGCCAUCGAGGUGCUGCCGACGCCCGGAUUAAGGGAGUACCGGCUUUCGCCGGAGCUCAGGAGGGAGGCGGAAGAGAGAAGAACCACCCCAAAGCCUCCAGGAAGAGGAUUGACACCAAAGGCGUCGACUUUNNNNNNNNNNNNNNNNNNNNNNNNNNNNNNNNNNNNNNNNNNNNNNNNNNNNNNNNNNNNNNNNNNNNNNNNNNNNNNNNNNNNNNNNNNNNNNNNNNNNNNNNNNNNNNNNNNNNNNNNNNNNNNNNNNNNNNNNNNNNNNNNNNNNNNNNNNNNNNNNNNNNNNNNNNNNNNNNNNNNNNNNNNNNNNNNNNNNNNNNNNNNNNNNNNNNNNNNNNNNNNNNNNNNNNNNNNNNNNNGGUUUCCCACUCCAUGUUGCCAUCAAGAACACUUGCCAGCAUAAUUAUCAGUUUCUGGAGGACAACCUAUUGGUUGACGAGAACUACAGGAAGAGGAAUGUUGAGUACAUCUACAAAGCUCAUACAUCUUCUUUGGCUGCUUGAGAUGGGUUGUGUUAAAUCCUUCCUUACAUAAAAGACUACUUUGGUUACAUAAUUGCGAAAAAAAGUUCAUCUCAUCGUAGUUAUUUAAAUCUACCUCUCUAACAUUACUUAAGAAAUGUGAUUUUGUAUAGCUCAACUUGUGAGAGGGACACGUUUACCUUUUAGAACUCAUGUAUUUAUGUCCAUAAUACAGGAGGCAGUUUUUCUUUUUAAUCAAUGGGGAAUGAGUCAAGUUUCUCUGCAAUUAUAAGUUUAGGAUGCUGAUAGAAUUGGAUGUCAAUCUUUUUCGUUAUGUAUACUGUAAGCACCUGAAGUGAAAGAUGUUAUUUAUUAGAAACUUAUGCAUAAGAUCUUGAACACCACUAGAUUGCUUGCAACUCACACUGAUAAUGUAGUCGAUGAGCUCUGGAAUUGCAUCAAGCAGGGGAAGCUUGCCCCUUAUGCUAUGUUGCCCCUUGCGGCUCACAGGCAAUACCGUAACCUCAAUGGAUUUGAUAUCAUCAAGGCUCGUAUGGAGGAUACUAUGUUUCCCCUGGGAAGUGGUAAAAAUGCCAAGGAAAAAAAAAAGCAGCUCAAUGAGAUGAAAGUACAUCUUAUCAAUGCAUUGGUGCUUGUUAGAAUAAUUCUCAAUGCCGGGAAGCUCUAGAGGCAUAUAUUCAAACUCAAUAAGUAGUAUCACAUUUGCAACAAAUAAAAUAAUUUGGAUGCUUCAUUUCAUCAUGGUUUUAUUGCCUUUAUACAUUUUUUCUUGUUUUACCGAAUCUUAAGACGCUAAUAUGUUACGGUUUGGCUUUUAAACCUUAAAAUAUUGAUCGUAGAGAAAGAAUAUUGUACAGCAGUUCUCUUGCUGAACCACGUGGAAAAGAACAAAGUAUCUAUAUCUCAACCAAUUUGUACUUUUCUAGUGUUUGUCCUGUUCUUGUAGAAUUUUUUUUGACCAAGUAUUUAUUCAAAUCAAAUACUAAUAUCCGGUAGACAGCUGUCCAAUGAGUUGGGUUUCCACUGUUAUGAAACCUUUCCAAUUAAUACCUCCUGAAAAUGUGCAUUAUCAGUAUUUGCCUACAGGUAGUACUAAAUCGAUUAUUCGGGGAAAGCCAUAUAGGCACUAUAAACAAUUUCCAUAUUGUAGCUGGGUACUACUUCCUGGCUGACAAUGGUUGUUCCUAUCACAAUAUGAUUUAUUUUGAGAUACAUGAUUUUCUUGACCAUACCAACCUUACCAAAUGUUGGUGUCACCAAAACCCAAGCAUGGCCAAUAGCUUGGCAAAACAAGAGUAUUUGGUCUGGAUCCGUAUAGACUUUCACUUUGGGUGUCUAUUCUUUGGUUGAGCCAAAUAGCAAGGUUGUGUCACUGCUCUGCAGCCAGUCUGGUCAAGGUCACGUUGUCAUGGCGACACUAGGUUGAAAUGAAGCAUCCUAAUUAAUGACAUAUAGUACAAAUUAACGAAAGGGCACUUACCCGCACACACAUACACACACAACGUACGCUUGUAUCAUCCAUACUUGACACAGAAUCAGUUAGCAUAACAUGCAUAUUGCAAUCACAGGGUUGACACAGAAUCGCGACGGGAUGUCAGUUUUCUCAAAAUUCAGAAGACACUUAACCCAUAUUUGAUAUGACAUCCUCCCGACUACCAGCCAUACAACUCAUUAUCUCUGCAAAAGUAUUUUGCGGAAAAUACACUGAACACAUCCCUCCUUGCCCCCCAUAACUUUCUGCCUCUUAUUCUGCUGCAAAGACAAUGAUCAUGAGUUGAUGUCAGGAUAAUUUAAAACAAUGAAGAAAAAUAGAGAAAAGGGCAAAAACUAAUGAAGCUGGUCACUUAUGAGGAAAACACAAAUACCUCAGUUUUAAGGUCGAAAUUCGAGCAGAACUUUGAAAAUUCUCUUUCGACUGAUUUGAUGGUCUNNNNNNNNNNNNNNNNNNNNNNNNNNNNNNNNNNNNNNNNNNNNNNNNNNNNNNNNNNNNNNNNNNNNNNNNNNNNNNNNNNNNNNNNNNNNNNNNNNNNNNNNNNNNNNNNNNNNNNNNNNNNNNNNNNNNNNNNNNNNNNNNNNNNNNNNNNNNNNNNNNNNNNNNNNNNNNNNNNNNNNNNNNNNNNNNNNNNNNNNNNNNNNNNNNNNNNNNNNNNNNNNNNNGAUACAAAGAUCGCUCGGGCGAGCAGCACAUCAAGCCCAAAAGAAAAAGAAGAAGAAGCAAAUGCCAACAACGGCAGCUUGACAAAGCGCGGAUGACCUUCCACUGCUACGCCCUUCAAAAACAAAUCACCACAACCCGAGGCUCCAAAUUGCCGCGCACCAAGCAACACCUCUAAGAAGGAAUGCGACGACGAUGACGCUGCUGCCCAAACAUGUCCUAGGGUUUCCCCCGACAUGCGGAGGGAGGUGGGGGAUGGAUAUCAUCGACACCCUCCAGGAAGGAAUGGAGGCACUCGCAGGUGUCACUGCAUCGGAGCCGAAGAACCGGUAAGGAUUUCUCCCGCACUCCAACCCCACCGCCCAACCGGAUCGGAGCCGACCAGUCAGACCGCCGCCCACCACCAUGCGCCAUCGCGGUUGCGCCGCCACCCACGCCGCCUCACUGCAAACACCAACACGAGGCCAAGAGGACCAGAGAGAAGCGCCCUGCGAAGGAGAAGCAACACCGUAGCCGAACGGGAGGGAACCACCUCCACCACCGUCGUGCGUGUGGCCAGAGCCUUCGGCACCGUCGCGGUCACCGUCCGGACGCAGCAGCAGGACAUGCCAGGCCAUCCCUGGCCCGGCCAGGCUCGCUAAGCCCCGCUGGCCACACUGGAGCAAGCCGAUGAUGGCGCCGCCAGCACCCAGCCGCUCAUCGCCUAUCCGNNNNNNNNNNNNNNNNNNNNNNNNNNNNNNNNNNNNNNNNNNNNNNNNNNNNNNNNNNNNNNNNNNNNNNNNNNNNNNNNNNNNNNNNNNNNNNNNNNNNNNNNNNNNNNNNNNNNNNNNNNNNNNNNNNNNNNNNNNNNNNNNNNNNNNNNNNNNNNNNNNNNNNNNNNNNNNNNNNNNNNNNNNNNNNNNNNNNNNNNNNNNNNNNNNNNNNNNNNNNNNNNNNNNNNNNNNNNNNNNNNNNNNNNNNNNNACCUAGGGUAGGGUCAUGGACCUGUCCAAGGUACCCUCCCCCAGGACAUCUUUUGAUGAAGUCAUCUUCCAGUCGACCUAGAGGGACUCCACUCGACUGACUGGAAGACACUCGACGAACUUGAAGACACUCGACCAUGAAGACUCACUCGACCACCAGGAGUUCAAGAUCUACUCUGUAUCCAAACGGUCUGUAAUUAAGUAGUCUUUAUGGCCAUGAUGACACUUUAUGUAGGGCAUUACCAGUAACGCCAGACCUCAAUGUACUUUAACCCUCCGCUGCGUGGGCUGGCUGGGGUCUUGGCAUCCUCUAUAUAAGCCACCACCCUCCACUGGUAGAACGGUUCGCACCCCUGUAACUCUCACACAUAUAAUCCAGUCGACCGCCUCCGGGCUCUGAGACGUAGGGCUGUUACUUCCUCCGAGAAGGGCCUGAACUCGUAAAACCCUUGUGUGCACAACUACUCCAUAGCUAGGAUCUUGCCUCUCCUUAGUACCCCCCUACAUUACUGUCAGGCUUAGAACCACGACAGUUGGCGCCCACCAUGGGGCAGGUGUUUUAGCGAAUUGUUGGAGAAGUUGCAAUUUUUCCGAUUCCCAUCGUCAUGGUUUCAGGCGGAGUUUUGGUUGAGGGCCGCGAGAUCUGUCUCGGCGCGCUCACGUUCAUCGCCGACGACUCUGCUUGGCUGCAGGAGGCUCCGCUCGACGUCGACGCGCUCCCAGUCCGCGGGGCUACGCACUUUCGAGCGUCCGUCCGCGGCGUCCUUCUGCGGCAACCGUCGACCCAGUAUCGGCCAGUGUUUGUGUGAUCCUCCCUCCCAGCUUCCCGCCAGCGUAAGCGCUCCGGUCGAUCGAGGCUUCAGCGGUGGGUGAGACACGCGGUGGCUCGCCAGUCGACCACCGCCCAAGUCACGUCAAUCGAGCCCGACGAAUCCCUCUACGGCCUGUUCGACCUAUCGACUGGCUCCGCAGAGACUGCAUCCGAGUGCGACAGCAGUGAUCCAGCGGCGGAGAUCCUGAUGGUCAAUGGACCGCACGUUCCCCCCGGCUUUCCCGGUGCCGAGGGAGGCAACGACGGAGGCGAUCCCUGAGCCCCUCAAUUCGCAGCAGAGGGAAGAGCUUCGCCGCCGGAACAUGGAUGCGCUUCACACUCCGAUCGUUGAAGAAACCCCUGAGGCCCGUGCCUUGGAGGACGCGCGCUUGGCCAACCUGGCCGAGCGCACUCGACUGGAGAACCUUCAGCGGGCACUCGACGAGCGCACACGACAACGGAUUCUAGACUCCAGUCGACACCAGCUCUUUCCACCUCCGACUCAGGUAUAUCAAACUCCGAUUCAGAAUUUAGUAGCUGCAGCCCGUAUAGCAGAAUCAAUUCAGCCUUCCUAGUCAGAGGCUGGCAGAGGCCUGAUGCAGAUCAGAGAUUUACUCCGGGCAGCAGGAGAUCAGAAUUCAGCCGUAUCGCAGUCGCGGAACAGGAUUCACAGUAGAUCCGUGGCAGCGAAUACGGUCCAGUCGGCUCAUAGCCCCAGAUCGCCCCCGAGGCGUGAAGGGCGUGGUGACCGGCAUGAUCAGUACAGGAACCAUGAGCGGUAUGAUCACCGAUUCGAUCGCAAUGAUCAACGUCGAGUUCCUACUCCCCCCAAGGGGUGGGUCCUAUAUGCCUCGACGGCAGGGUGAUAGACGCCAGCACAGUGGCAGGCGGAAGAUUCCGGUCGACCCCAGGGAACCAGGCUUUGAUGCAAGAUCCAUCAUCGUUCAAGGUCUGGUCGACCGGAACAGAGCCCACAGAGAGGGUAAUGACAGAUAUGUACCCACCAGCAGUCGAGUGCAUGUCUCUGGACCAGAGUGUUUCAGCAGAGCCAUCAGAGCCGCGGUGAUUCCUCCCAACUUCAGGUUGGCGACUAGAGUCAGCAAGUUCAACGGUGAGUCUAAGCCCAAUACUUGGCUUGAGGACUACCGAGUGGCUGUACAGAUCGGUGGCGGAAAUGAUGAGGUGGCCAUGAAGCAUCUGCCUCUUACGGUGGAAGGGUCAGCCAGAGCAUGGCUGAAUCAGUUGACACCCACAGCAUUUACACGUGGGAGGACCUCUCCCGAGUGUUUGUCAGAAUGUUUGAAGGAACAUGCAAGCGACCAACAGGACUGACAGAGCUGCAAUCUUGUGUGCAGAAGUCGAAUGAGACUUUGAGAGAUUACAUCCAGAGAUGGAUCACACUGCAUCACACAGUAGAGAAUGUGUCUGAUCACCAGGCAGUCUGGGCCUUCAAGGAGGGCGUAAAGUACAGAGAGCUAAGCCUGAAAUUUGGUCGAACCGGAGACAUGUCUCUGAGUCGAAUGAUGGAAAUAGCCACCAAGUAUGCCAAUGGUGAGGAAGAGGAUCGGCUCCGGAGCAGCAAGCAUAAGUCAGUCGCCCAGGAAACCAGAGGUGGGAACUCCAGUCGGAAGCAGAAGCGGAAAGCCGAGCCAGCUGCUCCUGGAGAAGCCCUGGCCGUGACUCAAGGAAAAUUCAAAGGGAAACCCAAGGGGCCUUGGAACCCCAAAAAAGUAAAGGAUAAAGAGGGAAAUGAUGUGAUGGAUUUGCCGUGUCACAUCCACACGAAGAAAGAUGAAGAGGGUAAUUUCAUUUACCCAAAGCAUACCACUCGACAGUGCCGGCUUCUGAUACAACAGUUCCAGGGGAAACAACCCAAGGACAAGGAAAAGGAGUCAGACAAAGCUGAGGACAAGGAAGAUAGUGACGAGGAAUACCCUCAGGUCAAUUCUACUCUGAUGAUUUUUGCUGACGUUGAGAGCAAAAGUCGACUGAAAGUUAUAAACCGAGAGGUGAAUAUGGUUGCUCCGGCAACACCCAGUUAUCUGAAGUGGUCUCAGACCGCCAUCACAUUCGACCAGUCUGAUCACCCAACGCACAUAGCCACCCCUGGGAGGCAAGCUCUGGUGGUCGACCCAGUCGUCGAGGGCACUCGACUGACUAAAGUGUUGAUGGAUGGCGGCAGUAGUUUGAAUAUACUGUACGCUGAGACACUGAAAGGGAUGGGCAUUCCGAUGUCCAGACUCAGCACAAGCAACAUGAGUUUCUAUGGAGUCAUUCCUGGCAAGAAGGCCGCGUCACUCGGCCAGAUUGCUCUUGAUGUGGUUUUUGGUGAUUCAAAGAACUUCCGCAAAGAGAAGCUGACAUUUGAGGUUGUAGAUUUCCAGAGUGCCUACCACGCUAUUUUGGGCAGGCCAGCUUAUGCACGUUUUAUGGCUCAACCAUGUUACGUGCACCUCAAAUUAAAGAUGCCUGACCCUAAAGGUGUGAUCACUGUUACUGGUAACCGCAAGAAGGCAGAAGAGUGCUUCCAGAAGGGCUCAAAGAUCGCUGAUGCUCAGAUGGUGGCAGAAGAGUGGCAGGAACACCAGAGGAACGCAGAUCCGAGUGAUUUGUUGCGAGCCAAAAAGCCUGCUGCAGAAUCAGCAAUCAAGUCGAUCGGGGAGACAAAACCAGUUCACAUCCACCCGACCGACCACAACGCUGCUCCGACUCAUAUCUCCACAACACUCGACCCCAAAUAGGAAGAAGCGCUCAUACACUUCCUCCGUGAGAACUGGGACAUCUUUGCAUGGAAACCUUCUGACAUGCCGGGUGUGCCCAGGGGACUGGCUGAGCAUCGUCUGCGAGUCGAUUCAAAGGAAAAACCUGUCAAGGAACAUCUGCGAUGGUCCGCCGUCUAGAAAAGGAAGGCUAUUGGCAAAGAGGUGGCUCGGCUCUUAGCAGCAGAGUUUAUCCGAGAAAUUUACCACUCCGAGUGGCUCGCCAAUGUUGUCAUGGUCCCCAAGAAGGACAAGUCACUUCGCAUGUGCAUUGACUUUAAACAUAUCAAUCGGGCCUGCCCGAAAGAUCAUUUUCCUCCCCCCCGCAUCGACCAAAUAGUCGACUCGACUGCGGGAUGUGAGCGACUAUCUUUCUUAGACGCUUACUUCGGGUACCAUCAGAUCCGUCUGUUUGGACCCGAUGAGAUCAAAACAACUUUCAUCACCCCAUUCGGGUGCUUCUGUUAUGUCACCAUGCCAUUCGGCCUCAAGAAUGCCGGAGCCACAUUCAUGAGGAUGAUUCAGAAAUGUUUGCUCACUCAAAACAGUCGGAAUGUGGAAGCGUACAUGGAUGACAUUGUGGUCAAGUCACGGAAAGGUUCCGACCUGCUGACUGACCUCACUGAAACAUUUGCCAACCUCAGGAGGUAUGAUAUCAAGCUUAACCCAUCCAAGUGCACAUUCGGAGUUCCUGGUGGAAAGUUACUCGGUUUUCUCGUUUCAGAACGAGGAAUCGAUGCAAAUCUAGAGAAAGUGGGUACUAUACUCCGAAUGAAACGACCUGUGCGUGUGCACGAUGUUCAGAAGCUUACUGGUUGCUUGGCCGUUUUAAGUCGAUUCAUCUCUCGCCUUGGUGAGAAGGCAUGCCUCUUUACCGACUGAUGAAGAAGUCAGACAAGUUCGAGUGGACUCCUGAAGCUGACGUAGCGUUUGCAGAGUUAAAAAACCCUACUUUCCACCCAGCCGGUGCUUGCUGCCCCGAUCAGCAAAGAGCCUUUGCUGCUUUACAUUGCAGCCACAGGACAAGUCGUCAGUACUGUACUUACGGUCGAGCGGGAAGAGGAAGGAAAAGCCUUCAAAGUUCAGCACCCAGUAUAUUACAUUUCUGAAGUCCUAAUCCCAUCAAAGCAAAGAUACCCUCAUUAUAAAAAGCUUGUUUAUGGGAUAUAUAUGACCACAAAGAAAGUUUCUCACUACUUCUCUGACCAUACCAUCACAGUCGUCAGUGACGCCCCCUUAUCAGAGAUUCUGCACAACAGAGAUGCAACUGGCCGAGUGGCAAAAUGGGCGAUUGAACUUCUUCCCCUGGAUAUCAGAUUUGAGGCAAAGAAAGCCAUCAAGUCCCAAGCAAUAGCAGAUUUCCUCGCCGAGUGGACUGAACAUCAGUUAUUGACUCAAGUUCACUCGAAGCAUUGGACUAUGUUCUUCGAUGGCUCUAAAAUGCUGAAUGGUUCCGGUGUCGGGGUAGUGUUGGUUUCCCCCCGAGGAGACAAGCUCAGAUAUGUACUCCAGAUUCACUUCGACUCCUCCAACAAUGAGGCAGAAUACGAAGCACUCUUGUAUGGGUUGCGUAUGGCCAUUUCGCUCGGCGUUCGUCUCCUCAUAGUCUACGGUGACUCGGAUUUAGUGGUUAACCAAGUGAUGAAGGAGUGGGACGUCAGAAGCCCAGCCAUGACUGGUUACUGCAAUGCAGUCAGAAAGCUGGAGAGGAAGUUUGAGGGAUUAGAGCUCCAUCACGUCCCCCGACUGAAAAAUCAAGCAGCUGAUGACUUGGCGAAGAUAGGUUCCAAAAGAGAAGCCAUCCCAAGUGGCGUGUUUUUGGAGCAUGUUCACACGCCGUCAGUUCAAGAAGAUCCCUUCACUGAAGAAGCCCCGCAGCCAAAAAGCGCCAUAGAUCCGAGUGAAGUCGAGGUUCCAGCUGUGGUCGACUUAAUCAUGGAAGUUCUGGUUAUUACUCCCGACUGGACAUUGCCCUAUAUUGCGUAUAUUCUAAGGAAAGAGCUCCCAGAGAAUGAAGAAGAGGCUCGAGAGGUCGUCCGUCGAUCCAAGGCCUAUGAAGGGACAAUUGUACAGAGAAAGCGUGACUGGGGUCAGCCAGAAAUGCAUAACGCCGGAAGACGGUCGAAUGAUUCUCAAUGACAUCCACUCGGGGACAUGUGGCCAUCAUGCGUCCUCUCGGACCAUCAUGGCUAAAGCAUACCGAGCGGGUUUUUACUGGCCCAGAGCAAAUGAAAUGGCGAAAGAGAUAGUUGACAAGUGCGAAGGUUGUCAGUUCUACUCCAACAUGUCACACAAACCUUCCUCAGCCUUGAAGACCAUCCCGAUCGUCUGGCCUUUCGCUGUUUGGGGUUUAGAUAUGGUUGGACCACUGAGGACUGGCAGGAGCGGCUUCACCCAUGUACUGGUGGCAGUCGACAAGUUCACCAAGUGGAUCGAGGCCAAACCCAUUAAAAAUCUUGAUGCUGGCACUGCCAUCAGCUUCAUCAGAGAAUUAAUAUUCAGAUAUGGAGUUCCGCAUAGCAUCAUCACUAAUAAUGGGUCAAACUUCGACUUCGAUCAAUUCAAAGCCUUCUGCGCUUCUCAAGGCACACGAGUCGACUACGCUUCAGUCGCCCACCCCCAGUCGAAUGGAUAAGCAGAAAGAGCAAACGGUCUAAUUCUCAAAGGACUGAAACCCCGGCUGAUGCGCGACCUCGAGCACGCAGCAGGUGUCGUGGUUCUAAGUCUGACAGUAGAGUGGGGGGUAGGUACGGAGAGGCAAGGUCCUAGCUAUGGAGAGGUUGUAAACACAAGAGAUGUACGAGUUCAGGCCCUUCUCGGAGGAAGUAAAAGCCCUACGUCUCGGAGCCCGGAGGCGGUCGAGUGGAUUAUGUGUAUAUGAGUUACAGGAUGCCGAACCCUUCUGCCUGUGGAGGGGGGUGGCUUAUAUAGAGUGCGCCAGGACCCCAGCCAGCCCACGUAAUGAAGGGUUUAAGGUGUAUUUAGUCCGGGGCGUUACUGGUAACGUCCCACAUAAAGUGUCUUAACUAUCAUAAAGUCUACUUAACUACAGGCCGUUGCAGUGCAGAGUGCCUUUUGACCUCCUAGUAGUCGAGUGAGUCUUCGUGGUCGAGUCCUUCAAGGUAGUCGAGUGAGUCCCUCGUUGGUCGACUGGAAGGUGACCUCUUCUAAGGGUGUUCUUGGGCAGGGUACUUAGAUCAGGUCUGUGACCCUACCCUAGGUACAUGACCCCACCAUUAGCCCCCGAAUGGAUUGAGGCUUUGAGUGACGGAGGAGUUGAUGCUGUUUCCGAUUAACCUUCGCACACUGGUCGUGCGUUGUUCUGAACCAGAGAAUCUCUUCGUUGAUAGUGAGCAACUUGUCUUCAGUUGACUCGAUCCAUUCUUUUCUUUCGUCGAGUGAUCUUUCAGGCUUCGUCGAUUUCCGAGCGACGGAUCGCAGGAAAUCCCGUGCCUGACAGACCGAUCUGCCGUUCGUGGAUUACGCGGGAUGUGAAAUUUGGGGAAACGCGCUAAGCGGAGCGGCCGCGGCGUUUGGAUGGGACGGGACAUAGACGCCUCGAUCCCCGCGCCGCUUUCUUCGCCACGUAUCCCGCCCGCGUAACAGUUCCAGGAUAUGAUUAGAUCGACCGGGCCCACCUGACAUCCACUCGGAAGGGAUCUUAUAAAUGCGCCCGGCGAGGGUUUUUUGAACAAUGCCUCAGCAUUCUCUCUCUGCCCCCUUCGUCUCCUCCCAACGUGCUCGCUCUCGCCUCCGCACCACUUCUCCUCACGCGCCCCGCCGGUAGCCAUGGUCAAGGAGAAGACGGCGGCGCUGGAGCGCGCGAAGAAGGCGUCGGUGACGGAGAAGGCGAAGGGGAGAUCCACCAGCCGCGGUGGGUCUUCGUCUAGAUCUCGCCUGCUGAAAGGCUGGGUCCAGGGAGACUAGAUCCAGUCGACCAUCACAGAGAAGGAUCUCCUCGACAUGGCCAACGAGGGCCUGAUCCCUCAUGGAGCUGCGAGGCUUCCGGGGAAAGAGUGGCAGCCCCAGCCGGAAGAGGGUGAGUGCGUGCUUCUGGCUACCCAUGUUGACCACGGAUUCUCUUUGCCGCCGAGCAUUUUCUUCCGUGGUUUCUUGAACUUUUUUGGAGUGCAACUCCACCACUUCACCCCGAAUUCUAUCGCCUACCUUGUCGCGUUUGUGUCCAUGUGUGAGAGUUUUCUGGGCUGUCGACCGCAUUGGGGCUUGUUCAAGCACAUAUUCACAUCUCGCUCUCAAACCGUGAAGAAGGCGAGUCCAGGCGACGAAAGAACCCGAGUGGUCCAAAUGUGUGGAGGUCUGGGGAUACAGGUGAGGAACAAGAGCACCUUCCCAGCCAUGACAUUUCCCGAGUCAGUCAGAGGCUGGCAGUCGACCUGGUUCUACUGCCAGGAUGAGUCGACGCCGGGGCAGUCGAGUGGACUCCCUCAAUUUACCAUGGACCGAGUGAACAAGCCCUCCUCUCUGAAGUUGAUUCCGGAGGAGAAAGCUGACGUGAAUAUGCUGAUGGAGCGCGUAGUUCAAUUGGUUCGGGAGGGAGUGACGGGCAUGGAUCUCCUGGAAGUUUUCCUUAGGCGCCGAAUCCAGCCUCUUCAGUUCCGGAGCCAUUGCAUGUGGUUGUACUGUGGGACUGAGGAUGUGACUCGGGUCAAUCCAGAAAUAAUCGACGAUGCCACUCUGGAAAGGUGGAUGGCCGUUGUUACUGGGAACAAGGACAACCCUCGCGGGGCCAGAAGGAUUCCCCCACUCGACUGCCACAGUGACCCAAACAAGGUAUGUCUGCUCCACUUCCCAUUGUAUUCUCGUCAUAUUUAUUUCUGUUUUCUCUGCCGAUCGGUCGACUGAUCUUUGUCUUGUUGUUUAUUAGGCCCUCACCGAACUGUACUCGAUGCCCAACGGAGCGCAGGCUCCGACUGAGGAGGGAGAAGCGAGCGGGGGCGAGAGCCAGGAGGAGGAGUGGGACUCGGACGCCGCUGAGGCCGAUGAUGAUGACGAUGACGAUGACGAUGAUGACGAUGAGGACGAGGAAGAGGAGGAGGAGGAGGAGGUCGCACCACCGCGCUCGGAAAGGCGAUCGAAACUUGUCCAUGACCCUGCGACCGAACGCGGCGAGGGGGUUGCGACUGUUACACAGUCGACUAAGCGCCCUCGGACCACCUCUCCGGCGCCGACUGAAAAGGCGCCGAAGCAGCCCAGGGCGGCCCCGUCGAAGCCGACCAAGCACCUGCCGAAGAUGAAGGUGUCCAUCCCCACCAUAUCAGGGUAAUCAUGUUGCUUAAGUCUUCUUGUUCUGUGUGAACUUUGUCUCUGGUUGGCGCUGGAGUUAGUCGACUGAUUCUUUGGAGUUGCAGUGCUGCUACUUCUGAGACCUCAGCCCGGGCUGAUGACCAUGAGAUGGAGGACGCAGCAACCUCAAGACCAGGUACUAUACUCUUAACGCCAUUUUUAGUCGACCGACUCAUGAUCUCUAAUUCUGAUUCUUUUCUGUAGCUCCAUCCAAUGUUGUAAUCACUCUCCCUGAUGAAGAUGAAGACGAGGAACCGCUGAAGUACAGAAGGAGUAGGAAAGCGUCUGCCAGCAGGGUGACCCAGGAUGUGACGGUGCCUGAGGCUCUGGUCGCAGAGGAGGAGAACACCACUCGACACACCGUGUCCUUCGCAGAUCCACUGACGAGUGCUCCGCAGCUCUCCCUCUUCACGACGCACCACGUCCCAGAGGACCAAGCUGGCGCAGCGAAGGAGGCAAUACGCCAGGCAGGGAUCAUGAUGGAGCAGUUUGAAGACCAUCCGGGAUGCAAGCCAGGCAGCUUACGACGCCAGUUCCGCCCUCCAACGCAAUGUUCAGGUCAGUCGACCACCAUUUAUUCUGUUAGGAUAUGCUACCAAAAACUUUUCCUUUCCAGAAUUUAUAGUAGUCACCGACUGGGUGUGUCAAUUAAACUCCGUGUUAGCGGGGGCACGCUGAGUGCACCCGCUGGGUGUAGUCCCCAAGGCUAAGGUCGACUGCUGGCAGUCGGCCUUAGGCUUUAUAAUUUCAGUCUUUCCGUCAUUCGACUACAUCGAAUGAAUUUCGCAAACUGGUCGACUGGUCGACUCUGUCUUCAAUAGGAUUAGUGGGGGCACGCUGAGUGCACCCACUGGGUGUAGUCCCCGAGACUACGGUCGAAUGCUUGUAUUCGGCUGUAGUCUUAGAAACGCGUGAUUUUUCCUUUUUCACUCGGAAGUGAAUUAUGUUUGACAUUUUAGUCGAUUGGUUCUUCGCAGAACUCCUGUGAUCUUGUGGCUCGCUACUCUGAGCUGGAAAACAAGCACGUUCAGCUCGAGCUGAAUUUGAAGCUGGUUCAGGAGAAACUGACGAAGGCAAAGGAGGAGACCGAAGGUAUGUUUGGUGAGACCUUGACGACUGCUUUUUCCCUUCAUUUGUUUCAAAAUCUGAUCUUGCUUUAACUUGCAGGUAAGGUGAGGGAGGCCCAACGGAAGAAGGACCUUGAACUAGCUGAGAAGACCAAGCUUGUUGACGAGAAGUUAGCUUCAGUCGCCAAGCUUGAGCAAGAAAAUGCCAAUCUGAAAGCUACUCUUUGGAAGAAAAAAGAUCUGGAGGCCUUCCUGAAUGGUCUUGCCAAGAAGUUGUUUCUUAUGCUUGAAGGUAAAUUUCUAUGCUCGGCAAUCAUUUCCAACCGUGGUUUUUCCAUUCGACCACCGCCUUGACUCGGUGAUCGUCCUUGCAGAAUUUUGUCAAAACUUUGAAGAAGAAACUAGCCGGCUGGAACCAAACCUUGACCCCGUCAACUCUCCGAUGGACGACGAAGUUGCCAUGAAUGUUUUCCGACUGGAGUCCCGUGUUGCAGCUGUCGUGGACUAUCUUGCAAGGCUGAAGGUCGCCACAUCUCGCAUCGACUCGACGCUUUGGCCCGGGGAGACACUUCAGAACAACCUCGAGUCGCUGAUGGCUCGCUUGAACACGAUCCCUGGUCGAGUGCAGGAGUGGAAAAAGUCCUCGGCUCGGUGCGGUGCAGAUGUUGCUCUGUGUCUGGCCCGAGUCCACUGCAAAGAUGCGAGAGAAGACAAGCUGGCGGCCCUCCGGGUGGCCAACACCAAGAAACACGACUUCGGGUCCUUUAUGGAAACUUUCCUUGCGGCUGCCACUCGGAUCGCAGAUGGAAUUGAUCUUGAUGAGUUUGUUGCACCUUCCAGCCCUCCACAGGAGGGGUAAAAAACUUCUUCUAAGCUCGACGCUUUAAAUUUGCCUCGGUAUGCCGAGUGGAGUUGUAACCGAUAAACCUUAACGGGCUUAGCGCCUGAGCACUUUUGGUUCCUUUAGGUAUCGAUCCGAACUUGAAUUUGGUGUUUGAAUAUGAUUGCUUUUGGCUCGAAAUGUCUUUUGCAGGUUCAAAGCAGGGCGCUUACUGCAAUCGACUUAUUCCUUAGUCCACUUAGGUGAGCGCUGGGCUGCAGUUAAGCCUCCCGAGUGAGAAGUUUGCUUUUCACUCGGUAGGAUUUCUAUAUCUUAGGCGAGCACUGGGCUGCAGCUAAGCCCCCGAGUGAGAGGUUUGCUCUUCACUCGGUAGGAUUUUUGAUAACUUAGGCGAGUACUUGGACUGCAGCUAAGCCCCCGAGUGAGAGGUUUGCUCUUCACUCGGUAGGAUUUCUGAUAACUUAGGCGAGCAUUGGGCUGCAGCUAAGCCCCCGAGUGAGAGGUUUGCUCUUCACUCGGUAGGAUUUCUGAUAACUUAGGCGAGUACUUGGACUGGAGCUAAGCCUCCGAGUGAGAGGUUUGCUCGUCACUCGGUAGGAUUUCUGAUAACUUAGGCGAACAUUGGGCUGCAGCUAAGCCUCCGAGUGGAAGUCUGGCUUACCACUCGGUAGGAUUUNNNNNNNNNNNNNNNNNNNNNNNNNNNNNNNNNNNNNNNNNNNNNNNNNNNNNNNNNNNNNNNNNNNNNNNNNNNNNNNNNNNNNNNNNNNNNNNNNNNNNNNNNNNNNNNNNNNNNNNNNNNNNNNNNNNNNNNNNNNNNNNNNNNNNNNNNNNNNNNNNNNNNNNNNNNNNNNNNNNNNNNNNNNNNNNNNNNNNNNNNNNNNNNNNNNNNNNNNNNNNNNNNNNNNNNNNNNNNNNNNNNNNNNNNNNNNNNNNNNNNNNNNNNNNNNNNNNNNNNNNNNNNNNNNNNNNNNNNNNNNNNNNNNNNNNNNNNNNNNNNNNNNNNNNNNNNNNNNNNNNNNNNNNNNNNNNNNNNNNNNNNNNNNNNNNNNNNNNNNNNNNNNNNNNNNNNNNNNNNNNNNNNNNNNNNNNNNNNNNNNNNNNNNNNNNNNNNNNNNNNNNNNNNNNNNNNNNNNNNNNNNNNNNNNNNNNNNNNNNNNNNNNNNNNUCUUCACUCGGUGGGAUUUUUAUAACUUAGGCGAGUACUUCGACUGUAGCUAAGCCUCCGAGUGGAAGUCUGGCUUACCACUCGGUAGGAUUUUCAUAACUUAGGCGAGUACUUGGACUGCAGCUAAGCCUCCGAGUGGGAGGUUUGCUCUUCACUCGGUAGGAUUUUUAUAUCUUAGGCUAGCACUGGGCUGCAGCUAAGCCCCCGAGUGAGAGGUUUGCUCUUCACUCGGUAGGAUUUUUAUAUCUUAGGCGAGCACUGGGCUGCAGCUAAGCCCCCGAGUGAGAGGUUUGCUCUUCACUCGGUACGAUUUUGAUAACUUAGGCUAGCACUGGGCUGCAGCUAAGCCCCCGAGUGAGAGGUUUGCUCUUCACUCGGUAGGAUUUUUAUAUCUUAGGCGAGCACUGGGCUGCAGCUAAGCCCCCGAGUGAGAGGUUUGCUCUUCACUCGGUGGGAUUUUGAUAACUUAGGCGAGUACUUAGACUGCAGCUAAGCCUCCGAGUGGAAGUCUGGCUUACCGCUCGGUAGGAUUUUCAUAACUUAGGCGAGUACUUGGACUGCAGCUAAGCCUCUGAGUGGGAGGUUUGCUCUUNNNNNNNNNNCUCGGUAGGAUUUUUAUAUCUUAGGCGAGCACUGGGCUGCAGCUAAGCCCCCGAGUGAGAGGUUUGCUCUUCACUCGGUACGAUUUCUGAUAACUUAGGCGAGUACUUGGACUGCAGCUAAGCCCCCGAGUGAGAGGUUUGCUGGUCACUCAGUAGGAUUUUUGAUAACUUAGGCGAGUACUUGGACUGCAGCUAAGCCCCCGAGUGGAAGUCUGGCUUACCACUCGGUAGGAUUUUAUUUAAUCUUAGGCGAAACGGAUUCGCAGCUAAGCCUCCGAGUGGGAGUCUGGCUCACCACCCGGAGGAUUUUUACAAACUUAGGCGAAACGGAUUCGCGGCUAAGUCACCCACUGAGGGGAAAUUUUAUUGGACAAAAUAAAAAGUGACAAAAAUUAUGGAGGAACUAUGACACUAUUAUUUUGAGGUCCAAGAACUUACAGAAGUACUUUAUUGCAACUCAUCCGAGUGAUAAAGCUUAAGUGUAAAAUGGGCGGAGUAGUUCCGCGUUCCAAGCUCGAGGCUCGUCGAUAUUAUGUUCGACGUUGUAAAGACGGUAUGCCCCGUUGUGGAGAACUUUGGUGACGAUGAAGGGUCCUUCCCAAGAAGGAGCAAGCUUGUGUUGUUUCUUCUGAUCCACUCGGAGAACUAAAUCUCCUUCCUAGAAGGCUCGACCCCUCACAUUUCUGGCGUGGAAAUGACGCAAAUCUUGUUGGUAGAUGGUCGACCGGGUCAGAGCCAUCUCCCUUUCUUCCUCUAAAAGGUCGACUGCGUCCUGCCGCGCUUGUUGAGCUUCUGCUUCGUUGUAGAUUUCAACUCGAGGAGCAUUGUGGAGAAGAUCACUCGGCAAGACUGCUUCAGCUCCGUAGACCAAGAAGAAUGGAGUUCUUCCGGUCGACCGAUUAGGUGUGGUCCGCAGUCCCCAAAGCACUGAGGGAAGUUCGUCGACCCAAGCUCCAGCUGCAUGCUUGAGAUCACGCAUCAGUCGGGGUUUCAAUCCCUCGAGAAUCAGGCCAUUGGCUCGCUCUGCUUGUCCAUUCGACUGCGGAUGAGCGACUGAAGCGUAGUCGACUCGUGUGCCUUGAGAGUUACAGAAAUCUCUGAAUUCCUCCGAGUCAAAGUUUGACCCAUUAUCCGUAAUGAUGCUGUGCGGGACUCCAUAUCUGAAUACUAGUUCCCUGAUGAAGCUAACAGCAGCACCGGCGUCAAGGUUCUUGAUUGGUUUAGCCUCAAUCCACUUGGUGAAUUUGUCGACUGCCACCAGUACAUGCGUGAAGCCACUUCGCCCUGUUCUCAAAGGACCGACCAUGUCCAAUCCCCAUACUGCGAAAGGCCAGACGAGUGGGAUGGUCUUCAGAGCCGAUGCAGGCUUGUGCGUCAUAUUCGAGUAGAACUGACAUCCCUCGCACUUAUCCACUAUUUCCUUUGCCAUCUCAUUCGCCUUUGGCCAGUAAAAUCCAGCUCGGUAUGCUUUGGCCACGAUGGUCCGAGAGGACGCAUGAUGACCACAGGUUCCCGAGUGGAUAUCAUUGAGGAUGAUUUGACCUUCUUCUGGUGUUAUGCACUUCUGACCAACUCCAGUCGCGCUUUCUCUGUAUAAUUGUCCUUUGAUUACGGUAAAGGCCUUAGAUCGACGAACGAUCUGUCGAGCCUCUUCCUCAUCCUCCGGGAGCUCUUUUCUCAGGAUAUACGCGAUAUAUGGAACUGUCCAGUCGGGAAUGACCACCAAGACCUCCAUGACCAAGUCGACCACUGCUGGGACAUCAACCUCAGUCGGAUCUGUGGCACUCUUGGGCUGUGGAGCUUCUUCGGUGAAAGGAUCUUCUUUGACUGACGGAGUGUGUAUAUGCUCCAAGAACACACCACUCGGAAUGGCUUCUCUCUUGGAACCUAUCUUUGCUAGAUCAUCAGCUGCUUGAUUUUUCAGUCGGGGUAUAUGAUGGAGCUCCAACCCCUCGAACUUCUUUUCCAGCUUCCUCACUGCACUGCAGUAUCCAGUCAUGGCUGGGCUUCUCACGUCCCACUCCUUCAUCACUUGGUUGACCACUAAAUCCGAGUCUCCAUAGACCAUCAGGCGACGGACGCCGAGUGAAAUGGCCAUGCGCAAUCCGUAUAAGAGGGCCUCAUAUUCUGCCUCAUUGUUGGAGGAAUCAAAGUGAAUCUGGAGCACAUAUUUGAGCUUAUCUCCUCUGGGGGAAACCAGGACAACCCCAGCACCGGAACCAUUCAACAUCUUAGAGCCAUCAAAGAACAUGGUCCAAUGCUCCGAGUGAACUUCAGUCGGCUAUUGCUGUUCAAUCCACUCGGCAAGGAAAUCUGCUAUUGCCUGGGACUUAAUGGCCUUCUUUGCUUCAAACUUGAUAUCAAGGGGAAGAAAUUCAAUCGCCCAUUUAGCCACUCGACCAGUUGCAUCUCUGUUGUGCAAAAUCUCUGAUAGUGGAGCGUCGCUGACGACUGUGAUGGAAUGAUCAGAGAAAUAAUGAGCAACCUUCUUUGUGGUCAUGUAUAUUCCAUACACGAGCUUCUGAUAAUGAGGAUAUCUCUGCUUGGAUGGAGUCAAGACUUCAGACAAAUAAUACACUGGGCGCUGAACUUUGAGAGCUUUUCCUUCUUCUUCCCGCUCGAUCGUAAGCACAGUACUGACGACUUGUCCUGUGGUUGCGAUAUAGAGCAACAGAGGCUCUUUGCUGAUUGGAGCAGCAAGCAUCGGCUGGGUGGAGAGCAGAGCUUUUAGCUCGGCAAACGCUGCAUCAGCUUCUGGAGUCCACUCGAACUUGUCUGCCUUCUUCAUCAGUCGGUAAAGAGGCAAUGCCUUUUCACCGAGUCGUGAGAUGAAUCGACUUAAUGCGGCCAAGCAUCCAGUAAGCUUCUGUACAUCGUGCACUCGCACAGGGCGUUUCAUUCGGAGAAUAGUGCCGAUCUUCUCUGGAUUAGCGUCGAUUCCUCGCUCGGAAACGAGAAAACCGAGUAACUUGCCACCAGGAACUCCAAAUGUGCACUUUGAUGGAUUGAGCUUGAUAUCAUACGUUCUGAGGUUGGCAAAUGUUUCGGCGAGGUCAGCAAGCAGGUCGGAACCUUUUCGUGACUUGACGACGAUAUCAUCCAUAUACGCUUCCACAUUCCGACUGAUUUGAGUGAGUAGACACUUCUGAAUCAUUCGCAUAAAUGUGGCUCCGGCAUUCUUGAGGCCGAAUGGCAUGGUGAUAUAGCAGAAGCACCCGAAUGGAGUGAUGAAAGCUGUUUUUACCUCGUCGGGUCCGUACAGACGGAUCUGGUGGUACCCGGAGUAGGCGUCUAGAAAAGACAGUCUCUCGCAUCCCGCGGUCGAGUCAACAAUUUGAUCUAUGCGAGGGAGAGGAAAAUGAUCUUUCGGGCAGACCCGGUUGAUGUGCUUGAAAUCAAUGCACAUUCGGAGCGAUUUGUCCUUCUUAGGAACCAUGACGACAUUAGCGAGCCACUCGGAGUGGUAUAUCUCUCGGAUAAAUCCUGCCGCCAACAGUCGAGCCACUUCCUCACCAAUGGCUUUUCUCUUCUGGACAGCGGACCGCCGAAGAUGCUCUUUGACUGGUUUUGCAGAUGAGUCGACUCUUAGGCGAUGCUCAGCCAGUCCCCUAGGAACACCUGGCAUGUCAGCGGGCUUCCAUGCAAAAAUGUCCCAGUUCUCACGGAGGAACUGGAUGAGCGCUUCUUCCUAUUUCGGGUCGAGUGUUGUGGAGAUGUGGGUCCGAGCUGCAUCGGGGUCGGUCGGGUGAAUGUGAACAGGCUUUGUCUCACCGGACGACUGAAAUGCAGAUUCUGUGGCGGGUUUCUUGGAUCGCAACAAAUCACUCGGAUCUGCGUUUUGCUUGUAUUCUUCGAACUCGACCGCUGUCACCUGGGAAUCGGCAAUCUUUGAGCCCUUCUGAAAGCACUCUUCUGCCUUUUUCCGAUCACCGGUGAUAGUGAUCACUCCUUUGGGGCCGGGCAUCUUCAAUUUGAGGUACACGUAACAUGGUCGGGCCAUGAACCGUGCAUAAGCUGGUCUCCCCAAAAUGGCAUGAUAUGCACUCUGAAAAUCCACGACCUCAAACGUCAACUUCUCUUUGCGAAAAUGUUUCGAAUCACCAAACACCACGUCCAGAGCUAUUUGGCCGAGCGACUUGGCUUUCUUCCCUGGUAUAACUCCAUGAAAGCUCAUGUUACUGGUGCUCAGUCGGGACAUCGGAAUGCCCAUUCCUUUCAGCAUGUCUGCAUACAACAAAUUCAGCCCACUACCACCGUCCAUCAGCACUUUUGUCAGUCGAGAGCCUUCGACAACUGGAUCGACCACCAAAGCUUGCCUCCCAGGGGUGGCAAUAUGAGUCGGGUGAUCAGAUUGGUCGAAUGUGAUGGGCGUUUGGGACCAUCUCAGAUAAUUUGCUUUUGCUGGGGUGACCAUGUUCACCUCUCGAUUAAUGACUUUCAAUCGACUCUUGCUUUCCACAUCUGCAAAGAUCAUCAGAGUGGAGUUGAUAUGCGGAUAUCCUUCCUCACUGUCCUCCUUGUCUGCGGCCUUGUCCGACUCCUUCUCCUUGUCCUUAGACUGUUUUCCCUGAAACUGCUGGAUCAGGAGUCGACAUUGGCGAGUGGUAUGCUUCGGGUAGAUGAUGUUCCCCUCUUCGUCUUUCUUCGUGUGGAUGUGACACGGCAUAUCCAUCACGUCGUUCCCUUCUUUAUCCUUUACCUUCUUAGGGUUCCAGGAUCCUUUUGGUUUUCCUUUAAACUUUCCUUGAGUCACGGCCAGAGCCUCUCCAGGAGCUGCCGGUUCAGCCUUCCGCUUCUGUUUCCGACUGGUGUUUCCCUUUUCCGACUGACUCGGCUUGUGCUUGCCGCUUCGGAGUCGGUCUUCUUCUUCGCCGUUGGCGUACUUGGUAGCAAUCUCCAUCAUCCGACUCAAGGUCAUGUCACCGGUUCGACCAAAUUUCAAACUCAAUUCUCUGUUCUUGACACCAUCCUUAAAGGCGCAGACUGCCUGAUGAUCAGACACAUUCUCCACAGUAUGGUGCAAAGUGAUCCAUCUCUGAAUAUACUCUCUGAGAGUCUCAUUGGUCUUCUGCACGUAGACUUGCAGCUCCGUCAAUCCAGCCGGUCGCUUGCAAGUUCCUUCAAACGUUCUGAUGAACACUCGGGACAGAUCUUCCCAAGUGUAAAUGCUGCUGGGAGGUAAUUGAGUCAACCAUGCCCUGGCAGAUCCUUCCAGCAUGAGGGGAAAAUGCUUCAUGCCCACCUCGUCGUUCCCACCACCAAUCUGAACCGCCACUCAGUAGUCCUCAAGCCAAGUUUCAGGCUUAGACUCACCAGUGAACUUGCUGACUCCUGUUGCCAACCUGAAAUUGGGAGGGAUAACUGCGGCUCUGAUAGCUCUGCUGAAACAUUCAGGACCAGAAACAUGCACUCGACUGCUUGUGGGCGCAUCUCUGUCGAGUCCACCUCGAUGGGCUCUGUUCCGGUCGAGCAAACCUUGCACGAUAAUGGAUCGCGCGUCGAAGCCUGGUUCUCGUGGGUCGACUGGAACUCUUCGCCCCGCACUGAGCUGACGCCUGUCAUCUUGCUGCCGAGGAGCGUAAGACCCACCCCUCGGAGGGGAAUUGGGCAAUCGACGCCUAUCAUCUCGGUCGAGUCGGUUUCCAUAUUGGUCUCGCCGAUUCUCGCGCCCUUCACGCCGCGGAGGCGAUCUGGGGCUGUGAGCCGACUGAACCGUAUUCGCAGCGACGGAUCGACUGUGAAUUCUGUUGCGCGACUGCGACACGGCAGAAUUCUGAUCUCCUGCCGCCCGGAGUAGAUCCCUGAUCUGCAUCAAGCCUCUGCCAGCUUCCGACUGAGAGGGCUGGAUGGACUCUGCUAUACGGGUCGCAGCUGCUAAAUUCUGGAUUGGGGUUUGAUAUACCUGAGUCGGCGGGAAGAGUUGACGUCGACUGGUGUCGGGAACUCGUUGCCGCGCGCGCUCGUCGAGUGCUCGCUGAAGAUUCUCCAGUCGAGUGCGUUCGGCAAAAUUGGCCAAACGUGCCUCCUCCAAGGCGCGAGCCUCGGGGGUUUCUCCUGCGAUGGGAGUACGCAGGGCAUCCACGUUCCUGCGGCGAAGUUCCUCUCUUUGCAGAGAGUCGAGUGGCUCGGGCUGGUACUCUUCAUGGUCUCGUGCGGGGUCGCCUCCGUCGCCUGCUCCACCAUCACGGGCGAAGCCAGGGGGACUGCGGGGCCCGUCGACCAUCAGGAUUUCCGCCGCUGGGUCACUGCUAUCGCAGUCGGAUGCAGUCUCUAUGGAGCCAGUCGACAGAUCGAACAUGCCGUAGAGAGAUUCGUCGGGCUCGAUUGCCGCAACUUGGGUGGUGGCCGUCUGGCGAGCCACCGCGUGCCUCACCCACCGCUGAAGCCUCGACCGGCCCGAGCGCUUGCGCUGGCGGGAGACCGGGAGGGUGGCUGAUGGGGAAGUCGACCGAUACGGGGUCGACGGUUGCCGCAGCAGAAUGCCACGGACACAUGCGCGAAAAUGUGUCGCACCGCGGACGGGGAGCGCAUCGACGUCGAGUGGAGCCUCCUGGAGCCAGGCGGAGUCAUCGGCGACGAAGGUGAGAGCACCGAGACGGAUCUCUCGACCCUCAACCAAAACUCCAGCAGUCACCAUGAUGAAAGUACUCGGAAGAACCGCAACCUUUCCACAAAAUCGCUAAAACACCUGCCCCACGGUGGGCGCCAACUGUCGUGGUUCUAAGUCUGACAGUAGAGUGGGGGGUAGGUACGGAGAGGCAAGGUCUUAGCUAUGGAGAGGUUGUAAACACAAGAGAUGUACGAGUUCAGGCCCUUCUCGGAGGAAGUAAAAGCCCUACGUCUCGGAGCCCGGAGGCGGUCGAGUGGAUUAUGUGUAUAUGAGUUACAGGAUGCCGAACCCUUCUGCCUGUGGAGGGGGUGGCUUAUAUAGAGUGCGCCAGGACCCCAACCAACCCACGUAAUGAAGGGUUUAAGGUGUAUUUAGUCCGGGGCGUUACUGGUAACGUCCCACAUAAAGUAUCUUAACUAUCAUAAAGUCUACUUAACUACAGGCCGUUGCAGUGCAGAGUGCCUUUUGACCUCCUGGUAGUCGAGUGAGUCUUCGUGGUCGAGUCCUUCAAGGUAGUCGAGUGAGUCCCUCGUUGGUCGACUGGAAGGUGACCUCUUCUAAGGGUGUCCUUGGGCAGGGUACUUAGAUCAGGUCUGUGACCCUACCCUAGGUACAUGACCCCAUCAGCAGGCACGUGGGUCGACGAGCUUCCAUCAGUUCUUUGGGGACUGAGGACUACUACAAAUCGGUCAACUGGGAGGACCCCGUUCUUUUUGGUCUACGGAGCUGAAGCGGUUCUGCCAAGUGACCUGCUUCACAAUGCACCACGAGUCGAUCUCUACUCCGAAGCUGAAGUAGAACAAGCACGGCAGGAUGCAGUCGACCUUCUGGAAGAAGAAAGGGAGAUGGCCAUGAUCCGAUCGACCAUCUAUCAGCAAGACUUGCGUCGAUUCUACGCCAGAAAUGUGAAGAGCCGAGCCUUCCAAGAAGGAGACUUGGUCCUCCGAGUGGACCAACAGAAGCCACACAAACUCGCCCCUACUUGGGAAGGCCCCUUCAUUGUUACCAAAGUUCUCCACAACGGAGCAUACCGUCUGUACAAUGUCGAUCGCCAGAUUGAUGAGCCAUGAGCUUGGAAUGCGGAUCUACUCCGCCCCUUUUAUACUUAAGUAUUCACUCGGAUGAGUUGUAAUAAAAGUACUUUUGUAGUUUAUUUAUCAAAGACAAGAGUUUCAUAAUUUUCCCAGUGAUUGUUAUUACUUUUGUUUACAUAAAUCAAUCCCCCAGUGGGUGGCUUAGCUGCGAAUCCGUUUCGCCUAAGUUUGUAAAAAAAAUCCUACCUAGUGGUAAGCCAGCCUUCCACUCGGAGGUUUAGCCGCGAAUCCGUUUCGCCUAAGUAUAAACAAAAUCCUACCGAGUGGUAAGCCAGCCUUCCACUCGGAGGCUUAGCUGUAGCCCAGUGCUCGCCUAAGUUUCUAAAAAUCCUACCGAGUGGUAAGCCAGCCUUCCACUCAGAGGCUUAGCUGCAGCCCAGUGCUCGCCUAAGUUUCUAAAAAUCCUACCGAGUGGUAAGCCAGCCUUCCAUUCGGAGGCUUAGCUGCAGCCCAAUGCUCGCCUAAGUUUUUGAAAAUCCUACCGAGUGGUAAGCCAGCCUUCCACUCGGGGGCUUAGCUGCAACCUAGUGUUCGCUUAAGUAUAAAAGACAACAUGCGCUCCGCAAGGAGGAUGAGGCGCAGGUCUACUCCUGCCUUCUCCUUCCGAGCUACGCCACAAAUACAAUGUGCGCUCCGCAAGGAGGACGAGGCGCAGGUCGACUCCUGCCUUCUCCUUCCGAGCUACGCCACAAAUACAACGUGCGCUCCACAAAGAGGGCGAAGCGCAGGUCGACUGCUAUCUUCCCCUUCGGAGAUACACCUUGGAAAUCCUACCGAGUGGAGAGAAAACCUCUCACUCGGGGGCUUAGCUGCAGCCCAGCGCUCGCCUAAGUUUCUAAAAUCCUACCGAGUGGAGAGCAAAACUCCCACUCGGGGGCUUAGCUGCAGCCCAAUGCUCUCCUAAGUUUCUAAAAUCCUACCGAGGGGAGAGCAAAACUCCCACUCGGGGGCUUAGCUGCAGCCCAGUGCUCGCCUAAGUUUCUAAAAAUCCUAUCGAGUGGAGAGCAAACCUCCCACUCGGGGGCUUAGCUGCAACCUAGUGCUCGCCUAAGUUUCUAAAAUUCUACCGAGUGGAGAGCAAAACUCCCACUCGGGGGCUUAGCUGCAGCCCAGUGCUCGCCUAAGUUUCUAAAAAUCCUACUGAGUGGAGAGCAAACCUUCCACUGGGGCUUAGCUGCAGCACAGUGCUCGCCUAAGUUCCUAAAAUCCUACCGAGUGGAGAGCAAACCUCCCACUCAGAGGCUUAGCUGUAGCCCAGUGCUCGCCUAAGCGUGACGAGCAUGAGUCGAUUGCAAAUUGUGCUUCGUCCCUACCUACAAAAGAACAUCACAGGCACUAAUUUAUAUUCCAAGCAAAGGAUGAUGAUCGUUCGAAGGCGGAAGCAAACAUAUCAAACGACAAACUGAGUUCGGAUAACGUCCUACGGAUCCAGAAGUGCUCAGGCAUCAAGCCUGUUAAGGUUUAUCGGUUACAAAAAUCACUCGGCAUUCCGAGGCAAAUUUAAGGCAUCAAGCAUAGAAGUUUUUUACCCCUCCUGCGGAGGGCUGGAAGGCACAACAAACUCGUCCAGGUCGAUUCCAUCUGCGAUCCGAGUGGCAGCGGCGAUGAAGGUCUCCAUGAAGGAUCGGAAGUCGUGCUUCUUGGUGUUGGCCACCUUGAGAGCUGCCAGCUUGUCCUCUCGCGCAUCCUUGCAGUGAACAUGGACCAGAGAUAGAGCAACGUCGGCACUGCAUCUGCCAGAAGACUUCUUCCAUUCGUGCACUCGACUUGGAACUUCGUUCAGUCGAGUCAUCAAGGACUCAAGGUCGUUCUGAAGUGCUUCUCCUGGCCAGAGCGCCGUGUCGAUGCGUGAUGUCGUAACCUUCAGCCUUGCAAGAUAGUCAACAACAGCAGCAACACGAGAUUCGAGUCGGAGCACGUUCAUGGCAGCUUCAUCCUUCACGGGAGAGUUGAUGGGGUCCAAGCCAGUUUCCACUCGACUAGUCUCUUCUUCAAAGUUUUGACAGAAUUCUGUGGAUAUGGUCCAAGGAUAAGCUAAUGUUCCCAUAAAGUCAGUAAUUACCAGUCAGAUAUUAGGGAUUACCUUCGAGCAUGAGGAGUAACUUCUUGGCGAGCCCUCCCAGAUAAGCCUCCAAGUCACUCUUCUUUCCAGCCAGUUCGCUAGCCUUGUCACUCAGGGCUACCUUCUCAUGCUUCUGUUGAGUGACCUCCUUGUUGGCCGCGUCGAGAGCAGCUUUCAGAGUGGCAUUCUCCUCUUCAAGUUUGCUGACCGAAGCCAACUUCUCUUCUGCAAGUUCGUCUUGUCCGAAGCCGCUUUCUGCGCCUCGACGAGGUCACGGUCCUUCUUCUUCAGAGCAUCCCUCAGUUUAUCUGUAAAAGCACAAUAAGAUCAGACUCGGGGACGGACAAGAAGCAAAGACAGUCGUCAAGAUUCUCGCCAAACAUACCUUUUGCCUCCUCCUUCGCCUUCGUGAAGUUCUCCUGGACAAGCUUCAGGUCAAGUUCGAGCUGGAUAUGCUUGUUCUCCAAUUCGGUAUAACGAGCUGAAAGCUCGCAAGAUCUCUGCAAAAAACCAAUCGACAGACGUCACAGAUAGGUCACUUCUGAGUGACUAAGAGAAAAAUUAUAGUAUUUCUAAGACUACAGCUGAAUCUAAACAUUCAACUGUAGUCUCGGGGACUACACCCAGUGGGUGCACUCAGCGUGCCCCCACUAGUUCUAUCAGCUAGACUCAAAGUCGAUCAGUCGACCAAAAAGGUGUGUGUGUGUUCUUCAGACUAUAGUCGACUGCCAGCAGUCGACCACAGUCUCGGGGACUACACCCAGUGGGUGCACUCAGCGUGCCCCCACCGGUUUACGAUUCCAUUCGACCAGAUCGAGUGAAGACAGUAAUGAGAAAAAAGAAAAACUCAAGACAUAAAGACUAUAGUCCACUGCCAGCAGUUGACCAUAGCCUUGGGGACUACACCCAGUGGGUGCACUCAGCGUGCCCCCACCAAUCCAGAUUCUCAAUCGAUACACCCAGUGGGUGUACAACAGAUACUAAGAUUUUCAGAAAGAAAAGUUUUCAGAUAACAUAUCCUAACAGAACAGGCAGUGAUCGACCAACCUGAACAUUGCUCUGAAGGGCUGAACUGGCGUCAUAAGCUGCUUGACUGGCGUCUCGGAUCUCCUUCACUUUCUCCAUCAUAACCCCCGCCUGGCGUAUGGCUUCUUUAGCAGCGCUCGCUCGGUCUUCAGGGACGUGGUGGGAGGAGAAAAGUGAAGGCUGGCCAGCACUCGACGACGAAGGGCGAGCACUCGUCAGCGGCACCGCAAAGGAUACGGUAGGCCGAGUGACACUGUCACCCUCCGCAACCAACGUCUCAGGUGCCGAUACGACCUGAGCUGCCUUGCCAGCGGACGCUCUCCUAUUCCUCCUCUGCCUCAGUGGUUCCUCGUCUUCAUCAUCAUCAGGAAGAUCAAUGAUGAUAUUAGAUGGAGCUGCAGAAAAGAGUCGAAGUUAAAAACGAAGAUUCCACCAAGUGAAAAUGAAACUUCAAAAGUCAUACCAGGGUUGGAAGUGACGGCAUCCUCCAUUUCUUGAUCAUCAGGUCUGGCCGAGGUAUCAGAAGUAGCAGCACUGCAGUUUCAGAAAUCAGUCAACCAGCUAACGAAUCGACCAAGAAUAAAUCCAUGAGAAACACGAGGACACGAGCUAUGUCAUUACCCAGAAAUAGUGGGAAUCACCAUCUUCAUUUUCGGCAGAGCCUUCGUCGGCCUCGACGGCACCACUCGAGAUUGCUUUGGCGCUUUCUCAGUCGGCGCCGGGGAGGUCGUCCGAGGACGCUGGUCGAUUGCACAGCAGGUGCGGCCCCCUUGCCACGCUCGACCGCAGGGUCAUGAGCAAGCUUGGACCUUCUUUCAAAACGGGGAGGCGCAACUUCCUCCUCCUCUUCCUCCUCCUCCUCCUCAUCGGAGCCAGCAUCUUCAUCACCCUCGUCACCAUCCGAUUCCCACUCCUCUUGACUUUCACCUCCACUUCCCUCCUCCUCCUCAGUUCCUUAUAUAGAGUCGCUUCCGAGUGGCUGACUGGUGGACCCAGGCAAUCCUGUCAAAUCCAGAAACAGUCGCGCGAGGGAUACGUGGCGAAAAAGGCGGCGCGGGAAUCGAGGCGUCUCUGUCUUAUCCCGUCCGAGUACCGCGGCCUUCCCCGCUUCGCGCGCUUCUCGAAAUUUGGAUCCCAGUAAAUCCGCUAACCGCGGGGCAACUUGUCAGACGGAAGAUCUCCUGCGAUCCGUCGCUCGGAGAUCUCCAAGUAUCGAAAGAUCACUCGACCUACAUCCAGAAUGGAUCAAGGCGAUUGAAAAAGAAGUUGAUACCGUCACCUACGGUCAUUUGAUCCAAAACAAGACGUACUCGUAGCAAGAAAGGAGGAGUCGGAAGAAUUCUCAACUCCUUCCUCACUCAAACCUCGAUCCAUUCGGGGGCUAAUGAUGAAGUCAUGUACCUAGGGUAGGGUCAUGGACCUGUCCAAGGUACCCUCCCCCAGGACAUCUUUUGAUGAAGUCAUCUUCCAGUUGACCUAGAGGGACUCCACUCGACUGCCUGGAAGACACUCGACGAACUUGAAGACACUUGACCAUGAAGACUCACUCGACCACCAGGAGUUCAAGAUCUACUAUAUAUCCAAACGGUCUGUAAUUAAGUAGUCUUUAUGGUCAUGACGACACUUUAUGUAGGGCAUUACCAGUAACGCCAGACCUUAAUGUACUUUAACCCUCCGCUGCGUGGGCUGGCUGGGGUCUUGGCAUCCUCUAUAUAAGUCACCCCCCUCCACUGGCAGAAGGGUUCGCACCCCUGUAACUCUCACACAUAUAAUCCAGUCGACCGCCUCCGGGCUCCGAGACGUAGGGCUGUUACUUCUUCCGAGAAGGGCCUGAACUCGUAAAACCCUUGUGUGCACAACUACUCCAUAGCUAGGAUCUUGCCUCUCCUUAGUACCCCCUACAUUACUGUCAGGCUUAGAACCACGGCACCGCCCCCGCUCGUGCCAGGAACCCCCGCCGCCGCGCAGGACCGCCGCCGCCCAGAGACACCACUCGGAAUCGCCCCGUCCCGCGCGGGAGGACACCCAAGAGGGGAAAUACCAGGGGCCGCCGCCGCCAGCGUCGCCCAUGCCAGGCCCACGGCAGGCGCCGGCGCCGACGGCAGGGAGGAAGGAGGAGGGGGAGGCGCGUGGAAGAGGAGGUUGGGCACGGCCGGCCGCCUCGGGCGGCACGGUCGCGGGGGAGGAAAAAGGAGUUCCUUCUGCGCUCUUGGCAGAAUCGCCCUUUGAUUUAGAUAAAUUUCUUGCAAAAGAAAAGAAAAAAGAAAGUGCACGACCUCCUUCCUAAAAAAACAAACAAAGCAUCCUCUAAGAUCUUUCUCCUUCGAGUCUGGGCGAAGGUCACUUCUUGGCUUGGACUCCGUCACAUCAUGAACGGAUUGGUAUCUUAUGGCCUCGGUGAAGGAGUGGCCGAUUGAGAUGGCUAGUACGAGAGACCAAACACAGAAAGGCCAUCUCCUCCUUGAAGAUGUUUGUUACAUGGGAAAUCUGGAAAGAGCGGGAUGCCAGAGUUGUCCGCAACCUCAGUGCCCCCACUAUUGUGAUUGUGACGACGAUCAAGGAGGAGGCCCGACUUUUGGCAUUGGCAGGAGCUGCGCAUUCACCACGGCCCGCACAGUCUUCUAGUACUGGACAACGUCCCUCUGCAGCAGGUUGAACCCCGUCUCCCCGGGAUCUGCCCACGCACGCCAUGACGGUGACGACGGUAGUGUUCCUAUGGUCAGGGGAGAGCACUGGGGCAGAGGAGAGGGUUCGAGCGUGUGGGGGGAGGGGGUGUGGGGCGGCAGGGUCGCGCGGGAGCGGUGGAAUGCCGCGGUGGCGCGCAGAGAAGCCGUAGGCGGCAGUGGCGGUGCCAGAACUGCAAUCUUGUGUAGUCAUUUUCAAAUUGUGUAGUCAAGUAUAUAAAUUCGAACAAAAAAAUUCAACAUUUUUGCAGCUGGGUGGUCAAUUGACUACCCAGUUGAUGAGUGGCUUCGCCACUGGUCGGCGGAGAGUCCAGUGCGGCGCGCGAGGGGAACGAGAAAGGGGANNNNNNNNNNNNNNNNNNNNNNNNNNNNNNNNNNNNNNNNNNNNNNNNNNNNNNNNNNNNNNNNNNNNNNNNNNNNNNNNNNNNNNNNNNNNNNNNNNNNNNNNNNNNNNNNNNNNNNNNNNNNNNNNNNNNNNNNNNNNNNNNNNNNNNNNNNNNNNNNNNNNNNNNNNNNNNNNNNNNNNNNNNNNNNNNNNNNNNNNNNNNNNNNNNNNNNNNNNNNNNNNNNNNNNNNNNNNNNNNNNNNNNNNNNNNNNNNNNNNNNNNNNNNNNNNNNNNNNNNGGGGUUCCAGACUGUUGGUCGGCGUUAUUUGUCGACCGAUGAAUGGAUGCGCAUGGGAGUUUUCCCGACCCACAGAUCGACAAUAAAUGUGCUUGUAUUCCCGUCCGAUGGUCUGUUGUUGUCCACAGGUUUUCCCAACCAUCUGUCACAACAUUUCCCAACCAACUGUUGAUCGACGAUGGUAUUUUUUCCCGACACACGUUUGUAGGGAAUGCAGUGUCGAGCGUUGACCUUUGUCCUUGCCUUUGCUUUGCUGGCAGGGUUGCUUGAGCUGGUCUUCGCUAUAGUGCCAAGGUGUUUGGCCAAGUCAAAGGUACUGGCAUGCUGGUAGAACUUGGCGACCUGAUGGGAUUUCUCGAGCUCGAGCUUGGUGGCUAUGACGGCCGAACUGAGCUAACUCGAAAGGACCUACACAUCCAUGAAUGCAUAUUUUGCCGCCACUUUUAUUUUAUCGCAGGGUUUGUAGUUAGACUUAUUGUUUGUAUCGGACUUAUUGUGUAUGAAAAUUAUUGUAAUAACUCUUAAACUGGUAUUGAAAUAGUUUACUUUCUUUAUGAUGUGAAAUCCUAUGGAUGUGGAUGUAUACUUAUUAUGAUCCUAGGAGAGUAUGUUGAACAUAUCCACGGUAUGGAUUCUCCUUUUAAAUCUUCUUUUGUCAUCAGGUUAAUUGCCUUAAGUGGUGGUUAGCACCACAUGAUUAAGGUAGAUUAUGAUUAGAGUAAUCUGCUCCAUUACAGUAACCCUCUAACCCAUUAUUGCCAUUCUUAUAGCUAUAGUGUGUUUUGCUAACUAGGUCCUUAUUUGUGUAGUUUACAACGGAUUCAAAUAACCAUACACAGCACACAAGCGAUGGAGCGCAGAGGAGCCCUACAAGCAAUGUUCUUGGUUCUUCACCAUCGAGAAACAAUUCGUUCUUUAGCCUUUAUCAUAUGAUUAUGUUGGUUGCCGGCAUGCGGAGGGGUUUGGGACUCAUGAUCGAGGAUUGGGAUAUAUGUUAUGUGGAUUGGGCUGAAAUGAAUGAUAUGUGUUGAUUUGUGUGUAAAUGACGUCCCAACGGCUCCCACUGCAGGGGAGACUUUGCUGAUUUUUUUCUUCUAAUUACCGUACUUAUUUUAUACUCAGUAUGGGUUUAUGCUCAUUGGUUGAUGCGGGUUAAGAUGUAGCCACUCUUCUUUUGUCACCCUGCUUCUUCAUACUCCGCUUGCAAAAUCCGGCUAUUUUUCUAUCCUUUUGUCAUAUGAUUAUGUUGGUUCCACUAUGAGGAGAGUUUGGGCCUCGAGACCGAGGAUUGAGACAUCUUAUUGUGUGGGUUGGUCUGAAAAGAAUGAUAUGUGUUGAUUUGUAUGUAAAUGAUGUCCAACGGCUCCCGUACAUUUUUUAACUUCCGAUCUAUUCCUCUUCAAUCAUGGUAGUACAACGAAGACCAGAAAUAAUAAAAAUUACGUUCAGAUUCGUAGACCACAUAGUUACAACUACAAACACUGAAGCCUAAUAGAAAAGCGUAGUAGAGGCAUUCGGAAAACGUUGUAAGUGGCGUGGACUGGAGAAGCCGCUAGUAUGACGCCGCUGAUAAGGCUCACUAGUGGCGCCGACUUCCAACGCUCGUAGAAACUUGAUAUUACUGGCAUCGGCGGCCAACGCCGCUGAUAGCUUUAGUACUGCUGGCGCGGGUCGGCCGAUGCCACAUGUACUUAUUGUAUUCGUUGUAUCGGGUAAAAAACAACACCACUAUAAAAUAUGACAGAACAAUAAAAAUCUGGUAAAUCACAUUGCAAAGAUGGAAAUCAUAUCGCAUUGCAUAUGAAACCACAAGGCUUUUGCCGUGUGCCAAAGACAUUCAAAUCCGGUAGUGAACUUUGUCUUGUUGUAUAUUUGGACGGCGUCUUUUGAAAGAGAAAACAUCACACAUGAUUUCUUUUUCACUAAACUCCAUUGGCCUCGUUGAUAUGUUCGUUCUCUUCUUUUCCAAUCUUGUGUAUGCAUUCGCUAUAUUCUCUUGAUUCUUGAGCACUCCCAUUUAAUGAUUUCCUCACGCAAAGGUGGACAUAUCGUGCCAAGAUGAAUCUUGCAUUCCUAGUUUUCUUUGCAUAAACUAAGAUGGGAUCCUCUGACAAACUGUGGGUUUUAUUUAGAACUUGAAAAGCUGACAAUUAUGCAAACAAAUCCGCACGACACUGUUGGAAGUUAAAAAAAAUAGUUGUGAUGUGUCAGCAUAAUAUAUACAAGCCCACAAGCCACUCAUGUAGAUGAUAUGAUGGACGGCUAGGGUUUUAUGUCCGUUCUGUGGACCUCUUUCCAUUUCCGCUGCCACAUAUAUGAACCAAAGAUGUAGCUAAUUUUGUCUAUGUGGUAGAGAUUAACAAACUAUGGGUUGUAAUCACAAUGUUUAGAUGCAUGCCAAAAUACAUCGCCGCACUGGAUGAAGAAAAAUGACGUGGAAGCCCAAGCUAUAGGCACUAGACAGAAGCCACCCACGUAGAUCAUGAACAACUUAUGUCUGUUUCCUUGCACCUUUUUAUCUUUAUCUAGCUAUAUAAACCGUCCACAGAUCAAGAGUGUAGUUAUCCAUAUACAGAACCAUUUAAGAUAGUACUAAAUCAGAGACAGAAAGUCUGUUCGCAGAGGAACAAAGUCGAUGAAGAUCGUGUUCUCGGUGCUCCUGCUAUGUAUGCUCGUGGCGACACCCAUAGCGUCCGAGUACGGCGCAUGGAGCUAUAACAGUGGUCCCUGGAUGUGCUAUCCGGGGCAGGCCUUCCAGGUGCCCGCGCUCCCUGGCUGUCGUCCAUUGCUGAAGCUCCAGUGCAAUGGCAGCCAGGUGCCCGAGGCCGUCCUAAGGGACUGCUGCCAGCAGCUCGCCGAUAUCAGUGAGUGGUGCAGGUGCGGUGCCCUCUACAGCAUGUUGGAUAGCAUGUAUAAGGAGCAUGGCGUGUCGGAGGGACAGGCGGGGACAGGCGCAUUCCCAAGCUGCCGGAGGGAGGUGGUGAAGCUGACGGCGGCGAGCAUCACGGCGGUCUGCAGGCUACCCAUCGUCGUUGAUGCGUCCGGAGAUGGAGCGUAUGUCUGCAAGGAUGUGGCCGCAUACCCGGAUGCCUAGUCAAGCGAAUGAGUAGCUAAUAUGUUCUGUGAUACAUCUGCCUCUUAAUUUAUGGGUUGCGCACAAGCUGAAUAAAAUGGUGUAUUCACCUAUGCGAAAUGCAUCGUUAAUGAAUAAAAACGAAGUUCCCUGUUGAUCGAGAAAUUUCAAUCCAGCAUACAAAAGAAUAAGUAGACGCAUGCCCUGUGAUCGAUCUUUUGGAGCCUUUGGCUAUAUCGUAGCCAGCUAUUAUUGUAAGAGUGGCAUCCGGGUGCUCGUCCAUGAUUAGGUUGUAGAUGUCAGAUCACUUGUACAGACAGACACAUUAUGCUGAUGCCGUUCUUAAUCGAGUAGAAGAAUUCCAUGGUCACAAAUAGAUCAGAGAAGAG